UUGUGUGUUGGGUGUAUCCCAGAAGCCCACAUCAAAUGGAAAAUCACCCUCACCUCCCUGGAUUUGUUCAAUCAUACCAUCCAUGGGUCCCUUUUUCUGUGCUGCAGUUUCUUCUGUCCUGAGGCUUGCGAUAAGCAUCUCUCCAGAAGCCGAAAAGUCAGUUUCUUGAUCCAUUUGAGCAUGCUCAGCUAACAGGCUUUCCCACCAUAUGAUGUCAUCAUUCGGUUGUGGUGACGUGGAUCAGCUUACUGGAAGUACUUACUUGUGUGUCAAAAGUAUCCACAGCUGUAGUUUUUAGUUCAAACCUUGGCAAGGCUUUGGAGAACUUGUGAGGGUGAGGUUUUAUAGCUUUGGUUUUAGAAUGUGUUCCCUUUUUCUGUGUUGCAGUUUCUUCUGUCCAGAGGCUUGCGAUAAGCAUCUCUCCAGAAGCCGAAAAGUCAGUUUCUUGAUCCAUUUGAGCAUGCUCAGCUAACAGGCUUUCCCACCAUAUGAUGUCAUCAUUCGGUUGUGGUGACGUGGAUGAUGGCUUACUGGAAGUACUUACUUGUGUGUCAAAAGUAUCCACAGCUGUAGUUUUUAGUUCAAACCUUGGCAAGGCUUUGGAGAACUUGUGAGGGUGAGGCUUUAUAGCUUUGGUUUUAGAAUGUGUUUGGGGUUUUUUUCUCCCUUCUUCCUGGAACUGAACCUUCUUUUUCAGGUGGUGACCAUGCCAAUAGUUCUUGACAUCAUUAGCAGUCCUCCCUGGAAGCCUACCCGCAAUCAAGGACCAUCUAUACACGCACAACAUCAGACAAAGUAUCAACUGAACAGCUCUUUUGUAAGUUCUGAACAGCUUCAGAACUAAUAUAAUAUCAUUAUCAAGCUAGUACUUGAGUUAUUAUAGACUUGCCUGUUCCCCAACAAAUUGUGAAGCCUAAUCAUGAGAUCAACCUCGUCUAAUGCAAACUCUCCUCUCUUGAUAUCUGGCUUCAAAUAAUUGAGCCAUCUCAAUCUGCAGCUCUUUAGGCAUCUAUUCAACCCUGCAAACUCAAGAAAACGAAACUCUUUAAGCAAAACAGAAGUAAAAAAAACACAAAUUAAUACUGAUCCCUUUCUCUUUCAUGUCACCUGCUCGGAGGGGAACCAGAUGCCACUUUCCUUCUCCAUAUUUCUCAAUGCAUUUCCUCAGGAGAACAUCCUCUUCUUGGGUCCAUGCACCCUUUCUAACUCCUAAGCUCUUCAUCGAGUCAACUCAACACAAGAGACCGGCUCCUUCUCUAAUUAUUGAUUGAUAUAUAACAACCUCGAACCUGUUCUAUCUCAUGACUCGGACACCAGACCCCUAAUUGGUUGAUUCGACACGUUUCUUAUGGUGCAUUACCUGGCUUCCGAAUGCGAUGGACAUCAUGGACAAAGGGUGUGUGUCAUAAGAGAUAUUUACCCAUUAUGUAUCAACUUACUAUAAAUGUACAGCGAAAUUUAGGAAUUAAUUGCUGACUAGUAUCCUUUAUGAACAAUCUCUAUUUUGUGGUGCAAAUGUAUAAACUGGUGUGAUCCCGAAGACAACCACGUGCUACCAUAUUUUAAUGUCCAGAGGAAUUCAUUUGGACAUUGGUAGGAUGAAUGGGACAUUACGUAGAAGAUUUGGAUUCUGAUACCACUGUUUCCUUGACAAAAAGCAACCAAGUGAUGGGAACCUUUGAGGGCCACCGCUCCUCUUUCAACUUUAACAUUUUCUUUUGUCGACUAACCCAUGUUCACUGAAAAGGGAAGCUCCAUGGGUCCUCUACCAUUAUAUUAUGGCCGCUAUGCAGUGGCAGCAGCUAAUUCAUGGGAAUUGUCAGCGAAGAAAGGUACAAUCAUUAGGAUAUGCCUCUGGCUCGCGGAGGACUUUGUUUCUGACCAGUAACGUCGAUAAAAAUACAUUUUAGAACUUUUUCUAUUGUCAAUUCAAUGACCGGGUUCAUUCUCAACCAUCCAUCUGUUGCUUGGGACGUGUGUCAUUUCCUACAAUGUACUCUCCUCACUGACAAUUAUUUUCCCUCAAAUAUAUACAAGUAUAAAAAUUUGCAUAUAAAUUAAAAUUGUUUUAAAAUUUGAAAAAUGAUGGAAAUUGAUAAAAGUAUAAAAAUUUCACCUGAACCUUUGAAAUUUUUUGAUAAAAUAAGUAAUGUGUAGAUAUUAAAUUAUUAUAUUUUAAAAAAAUUAAUAAAAUAACAAAUAUGAGUUUUCAAGUGAAUAUUUUGAUUAGUAGUGUUAAGAAAAAAAAUUUGUUAUUGUUAAUAAAAAUAGAAGAAAGUUAUGAUUUUGCACACCAGUAAUUCCUUAAUUCUGCAUGCAUCAUUUUCUCCAAAGACCUUUUGACAUUAAAGAAGGAAAAAAGAAAAAGAAAAAAAAAGAGCUUAAUAUAGAGGCAGCAAUAAGAUAUCUUAUUGAAGAAGACGUUUUUAGACUUAUGUGGGAACAUUAUAGGCUUUAAUGAAAUUUUUAUAAUAUCAUUUUUAUCUUCUUUUUUUCUUAAUUAAAAAAAGUUGUUAUUCCAAAUAUAUCAUUUUCUAAACCUAAACUAUUUAAUCGGCGUGUAUUAUUGGUUUAAUGCGAAUUAAAAACCAAAGUUCCUUCAUUUUUUAUUGCUUUAAUGUGGAAUGUAAAAAAAUUAAUUGGUUAAAAGAGAUUCAAUACUCCUCGUAUUUGUGAAUUUAUCGCUUCCUUCUUUUUACUUGAAAAAUAACAUAUUUUUUAUUAUAUAAAUGUCACUUAUCAUCUCAAGUAUUUAUACAUAAUUUUAAGAGAAAUGAUUAUUUUUAUAAGAAAAAAGUGAGGAUAUUUAUACCAAAACGAAGCCAAAAAAGAAUGGAGGGUUAAACCCUAUUUGGUAACUAUUUUUUAAAACCGUUCUAAAAAAUAGUUUUUGAAAAUUAUUUUAUAAUUUUUUAUAAAAUAAAAGUCGGUUUGAAAACCUAAAAUAUUUUUAACAUAUUUUAAUAUUUUUAAAAAUAACAUUUUAUAUCCAAUGUUUUAUUUUUAAAUUAUAUUAUAUGUUUGUAUAAUUAUUUUUUAAAAUAAUUUUUUAAAAAUAAAUAAAAAUAAUAUAAAACAAUUAAAAUAUGUUAUAUAAAAAGACUUUAUUAUAUAUUCUUAGAAACAUAAAACAAAAAAAAAAAAUUCUAGUUGUAAGACUGUAGACCCCUUUUGUGGUGAGGGCCCGGAGAGUUGUUAUUUCUUUCCUUUUCAUUAUAUCCUUGGAAGGGGGGACCUCCCUGAAAGCAGCUGCAUGGUUUGUGGUGAGGCCCCGUGAGAGUUGUUAUUUCUUUCCUUUUCAUUAUAUCCUUGGAAGGGGGGACCUCCCUGAAAGCAGCUGCAUGGACGUGUAGCAAGAGAGGAUGGUUGGCCAUGGUGGUGGGUGAAUAUGACGGAUUGGCGGAAUGGUGCACAGUGGAGCGGGUGAUGGCUUGCUGCAGAAGACAGGAACAGGGGGGAGGAGAUAUUUAGCUGAAAUUUUCCUUUGGCUUGACGGGGGGGAAGACCUUUUUUUCGUGAGGCUUUUGAGAAGAAAACCAGAGGUGUGCUGAGAAGGAGGGGCCUCAACAAGGAGAAACCGGAGGAAGGGGAGAGCUUUCCAGGGACCGUGAGAAAGAAGCAGGGGAGGAAUCGCUCAGGUUUGAUCAUACCUUACCUUGUGUUCUUCACCUUUCUUUUAUCUCAUUUUAUUUUGAUGGUCACACUAAUGCUUCUAGUUGAUGUUUGGAUGCUUGCUCUGAUCAUUUAAUGUGUUAAAUCUGCUUCUUGUUUUCGUUUGCUGGGUCUCUGUCUUCCCUUGUAUGAGCUGUGUGAUUAUUAUGCUGUUUGUCUAUGUGAUAAGACCAUUCGGACCCUCUCACCAGCUUCUUUUGAAAGCUCCUUAAUUUUCAUCAAAAUGGGGCUUGGAUUUAACGGCAUCAUCUUCUCUUCUAUAUACUCUGUUUUUUUUUUUUUAUCACUAUCAUCCCUGUUUCUGGCAUUUUGGAGUGUUGAACAUCAUGUCGAAUCUGGCGAAAUCAGACCGUCUUCGCUUCACACCGUUUAUGAUCUCAGCCAUGAGGAGUGUUGCUAACAUUCAGGUAUGAAAGAGAGUGAUGUAAGGAGUGGCCAUGGGCGACGUUAUGAAGCCAAGAAAUAAUCCUGAGCUAGCCAAUUUUAAAACAGUCCUAACUCUGGGACGGUUGGGUAUGUAUAUGGUAUGGCGUUCUUCAUUAUUGAUCUACUAGCCUAGGCAAUUUAGAUUAUGGCCAAGUGUUCUGAUAGAGAUGGAGAAGCUAUAAGGCUGCCAGAGGACCAAUUCCAAAAGAUGGAAAAUCAUGCUCUGAACGAAGAGCCGCUGUAUGCUUUUAGAUUGAGUUGUGGAGCUGCAGAUACAUAAACAGAGGGCUGCGGAGGAAUUAUCAUCAUGUAAGAAGCUUCCCGACUUGCCUCAGAAUCAAUCAUCAAGCAAAGCCCUGCCAAAUUUAGAGAGAGUGGAAUCACUUGUACAGGUGAACCUUUCCAACAAUCAUUUGCAUGGCAGUUUACCUUCCACCAGAGCAUUCUUCGCCAUCAAUUCGAGCUUAGUCUCAGGAAACAAUCCUUGUGGUGGGGACACUGCAAGUGAGCCACCACCAUGCAAGAGGUUAAAAAUCCCAGUUGGAGGGUUCUUCGUCACUUGUCUCCUAGUUGUUUCGGUGGUGCUCACUCUUGCUGUUUUUGCCGCUGUGUUCAUCCUACACCGAGAUGGGUCAGAGCUCAAGAGGGUAGAACAUGAAGAUGGGAUGUGGGAAAUGCAGUCCUUUGAUUCCAAAGUCUCAAAAUCGAUCACAAUCCAAAGCAUACUGCCGUUUAUAAUAGAAAAUAAUGUGAUUUCAUACAAGGAAAAGAUUAAAAUGGUGAGACGGCCUCCCUUACAGCUUUGAUGAAUCGACUUGUUAUUCAUCUAAAAAAGGCUCAUGGAUCAGAAUCCUAUGAGACCAUCUAUAGUGUAUCUUCUGAAAUUGUCAUAAGAGGUCCAGGCCCACUUUUGCAUGGUGCGCCUCCCAAAUACCCCACUUACCCAUCUUUUUGUUCCCGCCACCUUUCCUUUCUCUAUCACCACAUGCAUCUCUCAAGCCCACCAUGCCCAUAUUUCACACCCACUGAACCCAUGUUUCUCUCAUCACCCCUCAUCCGAUCCCACACGAGCUCACCACCUUCAUGUGUUCAUUCCUCACUCAUACAUGUAUGGAACCAUGCAUCCAUGGCUGCCCAUCAUUCCCACUCCCGUCUCGUGCCAACUGCCCAAGCCAUUCCACUUCAUCACCUUUCCACCCCCCAUGCUUGCCACAUUCAUUUCUUCCAACACCCUUUAAACUCACUCCAUCCGCCACCCAUUUAACCCCAUUGCAAACAUGGCCACCUCAUACCCAUUUCUCUUACUCAUAAUUCCAUUCAACACUUCCCAACUCACCCCGUUUCCCCGCCAUCUCUCAAUAUUCCUUAACCCAUUUAUCUCAUUAUCCCCUCCACCAUGUAACCCACUGUCUUCAUGCCCCGCUAAUCCCAUACCCGUCACCACUUUCUCUCUCUCUCUAAAUCUUCAUCCAUACCCAUUUCUCUCACUCACUACCUUUCCGUUCUUUCCAAACCCACAAAACCAUCUCAUCCCGCCACCUUCCAUCCUCCGUUCCGCCAAUAACCACCCGAAGACUAAGAAGAUUCUACAGUUCCAGCGCUCGAGACAAAUAAUUACUGGCGUCUUUUCCGAAAGAGAACAAGACAAUAAUGAGUAUGCUGCACGGGUUGAUCCCUAUGUGACAUGCGGGUAUCCUAUUUUAAGGGGUGUCUAGGAAUUGAUUUGCAAGCCAGGAUACAUAUCCGCCACAGCGAAGUGCCUGGCUUACGUCAUUUGCAUCACAAGACAAUCAUGAGAUGCGAGUAUCGUUUGCAUUGGAGUGAAGUGUACUCUCCAUAAUUGGUGCUCUUGGAAGUAUACCUACGAGAUGAAGCAGAUAUAUUAUCUGUUUUAUUUGUGUUAAAGUAUAUUAUAUUAUGGGCUAUAGGCCCAAUUAGGUUAUUUGUAUAGUACUUGUACUAUACACUUGUAUCGCACAGUAUUUGUACUGCACACUUGUACCGCACCCUUGUACUGCACCCUUGUACUAUACACAUAUGCCUCCUAUAUAAAGACACUGAUGUAUAUUCUUUUAAUCACAUAAUAGAAUACAAUUAUUCUAUAUUUCUAACAUGGUAUCAGAGCCACUGUUCUGAACUUUUUUUUUUUUCUUAGCAGUCUUGUUUUCAUUAGUGUGACUUCCUUCUUUCACUAAGUCAUCCCGUCGUCGUCCUUGGGUUCCGGACCUGCAGCUGCCAUCGUUAAGAAGUUUCACACUGCACAGACCACUGCCCUUUGCAUCACCGCUGCGAAUAUUGCUCCGAUUUCAUUUUUGAAGGUACCAUUGAGAUCGUCCAGCGCCGAUCUACACAGUACUUGUACUGCACACUUGUACCGCACCCUUGUACUACACCCUUGUACUACACACAUAUGCCUCCUAUAUAAAGGCAUUGAUGUAUAUUCUUUUAAUCAUAUAAUAGAAUAUAAUUAUUCUAUAUUUCUAACAAUUUGAUAAUGGAUAAAAUCAUGGUGACUUUGUGGUCUACUCCAUCGAGAAGUCCUCUCAAGAGAUAGGGUCGUCUUAUGAAGGCACGUCGGAUUUUGACGGUGUAAGAGUUGCUGCAUGGAUAGUGCUGUCCAUCUCAAUUCCACUUUCAGAAGCUCGGAAGGUUUGCGGCAUGCUAUCUAGAAUUCUUCAUCGCUCUUGUCGUGGGAUUGAUUGGCUUCAAAGAGAUUGAAUUCUUCCUCUUGAGUUAGACAGGUUGCUCAGGCAGGAGGCUAUCUUGUCUGCUCCCCUCUUGGAGCCUAUACACAGGAUGAGGACGACCUUAGAAUACAGAGGGAAAUGGUUGUCCUUGCGGAAUGCAUAUGUUGGAGAAUAGCUGUAAAAAAGGAAUCAAACCGUCAUUUGGCAGAAACCUCUGACCAAUGGUUGUCACAAGGAGCGAACGCCUGUUACUCGGCCUCCAGCAUGGAUGAUGCGCUAAGCUGGAAGGUACAUGGCUGUUUACAAAAAACUUGCAGAGAAAUACCCCCUCCUUCAGACAGAGAGGAGGUGAGAGGCCCUGUUAUCCAUUCUCCAAUUCGCUCCGAGGAAGGAGGUGGGGGGACAAGCUGCUGUUCCGGGUUUUGUGGGAGUACCUUGAACAAUGGGGACAUGUAUAGUGGAAGGCGGUACAACUCGGGCACAUACGAUCAUAAAAAGCGUGUGUCAUACAACACCAAAUGUAUUGAGGGCUUUUCUUUCUCAUUUGACGCUUGUAAUAUCUGAAUACAUUGUUUUCUAAGUUGAAUCUGGGGCCCACUGUAUUCAAAUAUUUGACUCUUGGGGUGGUCAACUACCGCCUGAUAUGGGGGAGUGCUGGUCAAAACCCUAUAUUGGAAGAGUUGAGGUAGAAGAAGAUGGUGAUAUCGGCAUCAGAGCUACGAAGGAGGGUUUAGGGCUCCAAGCAGCUGGAUCGGAUAGCUUCAGGGCUGACUUAUGCUGGAAUGGGAUGCAGGGGUCCACAAGGAAAGAGAUAUUUUAUACCAUCUGGACCCACAACAGUCAUUGGUAUUCCAUAUUCGACCACCAUUGCACAAGACCCCUUGCAUGGCCACCUUUUGAUAGGCCAUCAUCAAAACCCGUGGCUCCCCUCCUUUUAUUUUCAUGCAAACCUCCAGAACCUGAUUUUCGAGGAUCAUCGUUUUUUUUUACGUGAUUUUAAUUCUUCACUUUUUUUCUCUUUUUCUUGAUUCUAGGUACCAUUUUCAACUAGACUUGCCUAUUUUCGUUCAGUUUAUUUAUUUAUUCAUUUAUUGCUAUUAUUAUUAUUAUUAUUAUUUUCAUUUUUUGUUUUCAUCCUUGUUUUUAUUUUUAUUUCCUAUCCUUGACUUUAGAUAUUUUCCAUUCUUUAAUAAAUUUGGUAGCCACAUUCCUUCUCGACCAAUAUCUUUCAUAAAUCCUCUUUUAUUUUUAAUGAUUUUCUAAUUUUCACGUUUAAUAAGCCAAGAUUUAAUUUUGUGAUUCCAAUUAAUGGAAUUUACGAAAUUAAUUCAUUGCUAAAAUAAAUUAGGUUUUGAUGGGAGCCUCACAUGUGAUUUUAUAAUUGAUUGAUCGUUUGAUUGAUUUGAUUGUUAUGCAUGAUCGAUCUAUUAUGUUCUAAGACAUGCAUGAUAUUGUUCCUUAAUUGUGUACUAACCCUCUCUCUUAAUAGCGCAUGGUAACUCAUUGUCCAGUUACGUACCCACUUUCACUCUGAUCAGUGUCUACGCAUUUUCUGGUUCUCACAUGUGCAUGUUUUAUUCUAAGUAUUCAUUGAUUCACUCAUCCAUUAUCAUGAUUACUUCAUCUCAUUAGUAGAGACCCGGUUUUAAGGAUUUAGAGGGGUGUUACGGUCUUUACCGUACCUUCCCAAUAAGUAACCUGACCUCCGAGCCUGACCUGAUUUUUCACAGACUACCUUUUCCAAAAUAAAGAGUCACACUUAGGGUCUUCUUUUUUAUUUUGUUUACCCUUUUAAAAAUAAAACAAAAAUAAGUGGCGACUCCAAGUCAUUUUCCAAUAAACAAAGUCAUUUUUAAAAUAAGAAUUGAGUUCGCCAUCGAGUAAAAAACGUAUGAGCCGAAACAUGGGGUCCACACAAAUAUAUUUUCGUGUUUUUUUAUUUUAAAUAAUAAAAAGUUAUUCUAAAAAACCAUGCUAAGCAAAUUCUUAAAUUUCCGAAAAAACAAAAAACAUAUAAGGUUACCAAGAAAAUUUUUUAUGAGACUUCUAAGUUUUCAAUGAAGAACCAGAUUGAGACUUCAAUUAAAAAAUAGAAUCUUAAUUGACAAUUAUAACUUUAAUUUAAAAACGAAGUAUCAAUUGAUAAUUAUGACUUCAAUUCAAAAACCGAAGUCUUAAUUAAUAAAUAUACCUUUAGUUCAAAAAUAAAGUCUCAACUGUAAUUGUAAUGAGAUCUUAACUAUAUGUUUUAAAAAAUAUAUAUUUUUGAGAUGCUCGUAUGCGGCACUUAAGAGACCAACAUAAAUUUUAUAAAGUAGUUAGAUAUGGGACAUUUUGGCCCAAAACUCCAGCAAGUAGCACCUCUGUUUUGUGCUGGGUACUGGACCAGACGACAGUGGUCAAAGCUGACUGUGACCUGGGCCCACAGGCUAAUUUUAAGCUGCACUCGUGACCAGCGCUUCCAGCGUGCUGGGUCAGACGAGGCAGCGGUGGUGAAAGUGGGCUGUGAGCUGGGCCCACAAACCAAUUUUGUGAAAAUCCAGAAGGUGAAAAUCGGUGACGUGGCACCGACAUGUUCCAAACCGUCGACGUUUUCAUCACUGAAUUUUCCAGCACUUCAGCCAUAAUUUCCAAGUACAUGUACAAGUUUUUAGGUAAAUUAAUUGUCGAACAUAUGAGAGUAUAAGUUUUGGAGCAAAUGAGUUGUACAACAUGUCAGAGCCUCAGUGGAAGGGAAGAGGGUUUAUAUAUUCAAAUAUUACUUAUAUUUAUUUUCUUAAUUUAUUAAACUUAAAAAUAAGAUAUUAUUUAAAAUUUUCUAAUGAAUUUUUUAUUUAUUAUUUAAUUACUUAAAUUAAUUUUUAUUUAUUUUUUUAAAUUAUAGAAUUAAAACUUUUUAUUUAAAUAUUGUUUAAUAAAUUUAAAAUUUAUUUUAAAUUAUCAAAUUUAUGGUUAAACAUAAAUAUUUAAAGUAUUAUAAAUACAUAAAAUAUAAUAGAUUUAUUAGAAAAAAAAUAAAUUAUUGAUGUGAAAUCAUGAUUAUAAAAUAUGCUAUUAUGUAGCAAAUAAGAUAAAAAAAAGAUUUGAAAUUAAGGAAAAAAAACUAUUUUGCCUUAAUAUUUGAAGUUAAAAAAAAAAAAAAACUGUAAUAUUGUUAUUUAAUUACUGAUAUGUGUUUGAAUGCCUAUCUCCUUAAUUUAUUAAGCUUAAAAGAAGUUAUUUGUUUUCUCUGUAAUCUCAAAAGAGACUACAAAAGAGUAUUAAAGUACUUGAUAUAAAUGAUAACUCAAGUCCUAUGAGCUUAAGUAUUCAGAUUAUAUUAAGGUGGUGUUUAUUUUUUUACUUAAUUCUAAAUAGAAAUUUAAUGCUUAAUAGUGUUAAAUAUUAGAUUGUUUAUUUUUAUAGUAUUUUAUUUCUAUUAAGUAUUAAAAAAUAAAAAAAAAUUAAUAUAUUAUUUUUUCUAUUUAAAAAAAAUUAAAUAUUUUGAUUUUUUCUAUUCAAUAAAAAAUUUAUAAUAAGUUAUAAAAAAAUAGAAAAAUAAAUAACCUAAAUUGUGAAAACAAUUUCCUUUCAAUAAUAAACAAAAGGGUAUUAGAGUACGCUAGCUAUCUAGAUAAUAAACUCAAGUCCUACGAGCUUAAAUAUUUAGGUUAUGCCUCAUCGUUGAAUUUUAUCUCAGAAUUUCCCAUGAUUCUUGCAAUAUAACCUGAAUAGUGCAGGUGUGAAGACAUGUAUGGCCCGGUAACUUUUGCUAUUUGUAGUCCUUAAUUAUAUAAUCAGAAUAAAAAUGCGUUAAAUUAAUCAAAUAUUAACUAGGGAGUAUGACAUUACACAAAAGUACGUGGGGAGGGAAGUAACUUGAUAUAAAACUGAUGAAAUCUCAGAUGCUCAUUUAUAUCAUGGCUUCUCCAAUGAGGCCCAUUUCAAAAGGAAAAUCAAAAUUCCCACCUCCAUUGGUAUCUACAGCUGAUGCAGUUUCGUCAGCCAGGAGGCUGGCAAUAAGCUCCUGAUCUUCAAUGGUAUGGUCAGCGAAUAGGCUUUCCCACCAUAAAAUAUCCUGGUUUGGUUGGACCAGUGUGGGUUGCAGCUCACUACAAGUACUGCCUUGUGUCUCAGAAGCAUCCACAGCUGUAGUUUUGAAUGUGAACCCUAGAAAGAGUUUGCAAGGCUUAGGCUUUAUCAGAGUGUUUUCAGAAUUGGUUUGGGCUUUAUCUUUCCCUUUUUCCUGGAUGGGAACCAUCUUCUUGAAGCGAUGAUGGUGCCAGUAAUUCUUGACAUCAUUCGCAGUCCUCCCUGGAAGUCUGCCGGCAAUCAAGGACCAUCUGGAAAAACAUAGCUACAAUUUUUUUAAAAGUGUUGAAUUAAAAUGAUCUUAUUUGAGUUUCUAAUUCAUGGAGGCGUUGUUUCUUUAACCAUCAGCUCCAGAAUUUGGUUUGGGUUAAGGAUCAGACAAGGAAAAAAAUUAAGGGAAGGUAGGUACAAUUCUUUUUUCUUUGCAAGUGAAAAAGCUUAAUUGAUUAAGCUUCUUUUCUUAUUUUACUUCAAUUUUUUUCUUUCAUUUUCCUCGUAUUUUCUCAGGAUUCAAUCCAAACUUGUAUCUCUAUUACCAAUCUAACAGUGGCUAUACUAAAUGUAAUAGGAAAUUAAUAAAUAAACUUGCCUGUUUCCCAACAGCUUAUGAAGUCUAAUCAUGAGAUCGACUUCAUCUGAUGCAAAUUUUCCUCUCUUAAUAUUUGGCUUUAAAUAGUUGAACCAUCUCAAUCUACAGCUUUUGCGGCAUCUACUCAAACCUGAAAAGGCAACUCUUCCAGUUAGGAAUAUUUAUUUAAGCAGGAAAAAAGUUUGCAGGCUUCCUCUCAUACGUAUAUAUUACCUGCUCGGAGUGGAACCAAAUGCCAUUUUUCUUCUCCAUAUUUCUCAACACAUUUUCUUAAAAGAAAAUCUUCUUCCCGAGUCCAUUUUCCCUUUCUAACUCCCAAACUCUCCAUAGCUUUUCCUCAACUCUACGUAGAACAUAUGCAACUUGUCCGAUUAAUUUAAACACUUGGUAUGUACUUCUUAUGAUUUGCGUGCUUUCAUUCCAACCACAGAACUCCAAGUAGUACUGAUUCUUAAUUAAGUGACAUGAGCUGGUUGGUAGCCUUAGUAACAACAGUGUAACAGCCACUUCAGUUUAAACGUGCAGUCAUUCUUAAGCCACAUAAGCCUUAGUAACAAUUCAAGCGUGUAAUUAUAUAUAUAUACACACAACUUGGGAUGUACUUCAUAUGACUUACGAUGCUUGUAUUCCAACCACAGGUCCCUAAGUACGGAUUCUUAAGUGACCCAAUGUUUUUUUUUUAUUCAUUUGAUGUGGAAUACAAAAGAAUUAAUUGAUUAAAAGAAAUUAAAUAAUCAUUAUAUUUAUAAAUUUAAUCAUUCCUUGAUUUUACUUGAAAAAUAAUAUAUUAUUGACAUAAAUGUCACUUAUCAUUUCAAGUAUUUAUAUAUAGUUUUAAAUGAAAUAAUUGUUUUUACAAGAAAAAAAAAAGAUACUUUUAUAAAAUGAAAAAAAAUUAAGGUUAAAUUUAUAAAUUUGAGUUUUUAAUGACCCUUCUAAUCAAAUACUCUAAUACAAAGUCAUCUGUUAUCAUUUCCUCUCUACAACUUCAGGUUUGUGCAUCCUGACUUUGUAGUCUCGAAUAUAGGCAUUAGAUAUCUUAUUUCUAGUCUUAGAUUUAGGUAUAAGGUUGGAAUUAUGAUAAGUGUUAAGUUUCUGGGAUUUGUUAAGGAGAUUUGCACAAUAUUUGUAGAGUUAUUAUUAUUAUUAUUAUUAUUAUUAUCUUGGUUUUUGUUUGCUUGAAUUAUUUGAUUGAUUGGUCAUACCUAGCUUUCUAGCAAGUUUGUUUCUAGUACGGUCGUUUUACCACUCUAGAGACAUGCGGGCAAGACAUAAAAGUUCUAGAUAUUCUUCGAAAUCUGUAUUGCAAUAUCAGGUUGAACAUUAAACAAAGAGAUAGUCACUGCAAUAGUAAGUGUGUGCUGACCAACGUUUUAAAAAUCCAAUCGGACCAGCUGGUCCGAUCGGUCUGACCGUUGAUCGGUCAUCAGUCCAGUUCGAUUCACCCCUUUGAACCGGCCAACCUCUGAACUGUCAUCGAACCGACGGACAGAUUGGUCCGACCAAUUUUUAUUGAACCGAACAAUUCAAAUGAAUUUUUUCCUUGGCUUCCAAAAUGAUGUCUUCCCUUUCUUCUUCGUUCUUCCAGAACGUUCUCCCCCGCCCACAGUUGACCGUGACUCAGUUGACCGUGACUCAAAAUACAUUCCAACAACUGAUGAAGAUGAGGAAGUAGAGUAUGAAUGCAAGAACAACAUUUGAACUUAACCCCAAAGAUUGAAAUUGUCUAAAUCAGAUCAAAUGAUUUACUUGUGUUGGGUGUAUCCCAAAAGCCCACAUCAAAUGGAAAAUCACCCUCACCUCCCUGGACUUGUUCCACCAUGCCAUCCAUGGUUCCCUUUGUCUCUGUUGCAGUUUGUUCGGCCCAGAGGCUUGAGAUACGCUCCCCUCCAGAGCUACAAAUCGAAAAGUCAGUUUCUUGAUCCAUUUGGGCAUGCCCAGAUAACAGGCUUUCCCACCAUGCAAUAUCAUCAUUUGGCUGUGGUAACUUGGAUGAUGGCUUACUAGAUGUACUUGUUAUUUCCACAUUAAAAUUAAGUGGGUGGCCCACUAACCUAGUAUUUAGCCGAUUAAAAGAAUACCUAAAAUAUUUAAACUGUUAUAAAGAUAUUUACCCUUUGAUGGAGUGGGUAAAUUAUUAUAAUAAUAAUAUUAUUAUUUGGAAUAAAAAACAGUUAUUCGAUCGAAUAACACGUUCAUAAUGGUUUUUGAACGUGUAUUCUUGACCCUCUUCUCUUAUCAAUAAGAUAUAUAUACAGAAACCCCUUCAUGUGCGGUGAGUGCUCUCUUCCAUCAAUUACAGAAAACAAUUCUGUGUAUUAAAGUUUGAUAAGGAGAAGAAGAGAUCAAGGAUUUAAGAUCUAUAAACUGAAGGGAAAUCUCUCAUAGCUGCGUGUUCUUCAAACGGUAUGUAAUCUAUUUUAAUUAAUGUUUUUAUUAUUUUAUUUUUCAGAGAUGAGUUUGAAUUCAAUGAUCUGGAAUAUUGUGUGUUAAUUUCUGUGUUAAAUGUCAACAAUUGGUAUCAGAGCAAGGUUGAAUUCAAAUAUUCAGAAUCAUUGUUUUAUAAAGAUUAAAUUUUGAGAUUUAUCAUCGAUUAAUUCGUCUCACUAAAAUGAAUAAAAAAAAUAAUAAUUAAACAAAAUAAAGACCAGCCUCAAUGCGUAGAAGGAAGAUUUUUAUUUUUCCUUGCAACGCCGAUUGGAGCAAUGCCGGUGAGGGGCGCUGGUUUGGCCGACUGGUUUGGCGUUAGUCCGGUGGCCGGUUUCAGGCGCCAGUCAAGGCGCCAUUGCCUGCGCCAUUGAAGGUGCCAUCUCACUGUUUUCAGGCGCCAAUCCAGGCGCCAUUGAAGGCGCCAUCUCGACGUUUUCACGCGCCAGUCUAGAUGCCAUUGCCGGCGCCAUUGAAGGUGUCGUUUCUCCAGCUUUCCGACGGCAGUGAAGGCGCCGUUUUCAGGCGCCAUCUCCAGGCAUCAGGCGCCGUUUCUCAGGCGCCAUUAGAGGCGCUGGUUGCAGGCGCCGUUUCUCAGGCACCAUUAGAGGCGCUAUUUGCAGGUGUCGUUUCCUUCUUCAAGGGCCAUUGGAGGCGCCGUUUGCAGCGCCGUUUCAGGCGCUCUUCAGGCGCCACUUUUCAGGCUCUCCAAAAGUGCCAUUUCAGGCGCUAAUCCAAAGAUCUUAAUUGAUUUAUUAUUUGAUUUGAGUCUGAACCUUUGUGAAAUUAUUAUUAUGUCUGAGGAAUGCAAGUAUUAGCUUUAGUAUAUUCAAUGAAUGCAGAUUUCUUUGAUUUUAUUAUGAUUGAUUAUUGAAUCAGAUGGUUAUUAAACAUACUAUUUCCUUGAUUUUUUAACUCAAAUAAAAGAAUUAAUUUCAUCUUGUGAAUAUUUUAUCUAAAGACAAUUUAUAAAUGUAAGGUUAACUAGUUUAGAUUAUUGCCAAAGCAACCUAAAUUAGUGAGCCUUGUAUUUAUUGAAUUGCAUAAAAGAAUAAAGGGAGACUUGUAAAAUUCUUAAUAAUUCUCUUUAUAAUUAGGAGAAUGAGACUAACCCAAAGGAGAGUCAAUUUCUGCUAAUUAUUAAUUAAUGUUUUAUUUUGUGUUGCUUAGAAAGGUAAAAUGGAUACCCAAAGGUAACAUAUAAAUGACACAAAAUAGUAAAGUAUUUUAAGCUCCCUCCAAGUGAACACUGGAUAUGUUAAAAUUUACCCAAAGGAGAAUUUUAAUGAUAUCAAUAGUUCAUUGCUAUUUAUUUUAUACUUGAGGCCUUAUUGUGAGCAUUGUUCUAUUUUGUACAGUUCCCACUUCAUUACACUCUCUUGCAUCUGGAAUGGCUGUUUUUGAUGGGUCGAACUUUUCUGAAUGGUAUGAAACAAUUCUCACUGGGCGUAUUGGAUCUUGACCUGGCUUUAAUAACGGAUAAACCUCCUGAAGCUACGGAUGACAGUACUCCGGAGCAGGUGGAACAAUUAAAAGCCUGGGCAAGAUCCAACAUACUCAGUUUUAUGUUUAUGAGAAUGAUUAUUGCCAAUAAUAUCAAGACCUCUCUCCCUCAAACCGAGUUUGCCUCGGAAUUUCUGAAAUCUGUUGAAGAGUGCUUCAAACGCGCUGAUAAGUCCCUUGCAGGCACAUUGAUGGCUGAAUUGACUACCAUGAAAUAUGAUGGUCAGAAAGGUAUUCAGCAACAUAUUUUAAACAUGACUGAAAAAGUUGCAAAGCUUAAGGCGCUAGGCAUGGGUAUGGAUGAGUCCUUCUUGGUACAGUUUGUCCUUAACUCACUUCCAUCACAGUUUGCUCCAUUCAAAAUCCACUAUAAUACUAACAGUGAUCAGUGGAACUUGAAUGAGCUCACCAGUAAAUGCAUACAAAAGGAAGUGAGAUUAAGACAAGAAGGACAUAAUCUUGCCCUUGCUGUAACUCAUGGAGUCAUGAAGAAGAAAGGAAAAUUCAGAAAAGGAAAGAAGUUUCCACCUAAGAAAAGCGGACCUGGGGAAGGUAGCCAGAGUCAUGAUGGAAAAUUCACGGUAAGUUGCUACUUUUGUGGCAAGAAAGGGCAUGUGAAGAAGGACUGUAACAAGCGUAAGGCUUGGUUCGAAAAGAGAUGUAUAAAUCUUUCUUUUGUAUGUUAUGAAUCCAAUCUUGCUGAAGUUCCUUCAAAUACUUGGUGGAUUGAUUCUGGAGCCACAACUCAUGUGACUAAUUUAAUGCAGGGAUUCUUUACAACUAGGAAACUAAAGGAAAGUGAAAAGUUCCUCGAUAUGGGAAACCGUCUCAAGGUUGAAGUGGUAGCUGUUGGUACCUAUCGCUUACUAUUAGAGACGAGUCAUCGGAUGGAUCUUUUAAACACUUUUUAUGUACCUUCUAUCUUUAGGAAUUUAGUUUCCUUGUCCAAAUUAGAUGCUACUGGAUAUUCUGUUUUAUUCAGUUUUGGACAAUUAAGUUUGUUGUUAAAUUCUGUUACAGUUGGUUCUAGUAUUUUAUGUGAUGGUUUAUAUAAAAUUUCCUUGAAUCAUGAAUUUGCACAAGCCUUGAUAACCCUGCAUUCAAAUGUUGGUUCAAAACGUGGCUUAAUUAAUGAAAAUUCUUCAAUCUUGUGGCACAGAAGACUAGGGCACAUCUCUAGGGAAAGAAUUGAGAGAUUAGUGAAGGAAGGAAUUUUACAAAAUCUUGACUUAACUGAUUUUCAUGUAUGUGUGGAUUGCAUAAAGGGAAAGCAAACUAAACAUACAAAGAAAUGUGCCACAAGAAGUAAUGAGCUUCUUGAGAUAAUUCAUAUAGAUAUUUGUGGACCACUCUCUGUUCCAUGUUUUACAGGAGAGAAAUAUUUUAUCACCUUUAUAGAUGAUCUAUCUCGUUAUGGUUAUGUUUAUCUAAUGCAUGAAAAGUCUCAGGCCAUUGACAUCUUCGAGAUGUUCAUAACAGAGGUCAAGAGACAAUUAGAUAAAAAGAUUAAAAUUGUGAGAUCAGAUCGAGGUGGUGAACAUUAUGGCAGAUAUGAUGAAUCAAGACAAAAUCCUGGUCCUUUUGCCAAAUUCCUUGAAAAGCGUGGCAUUUGUGCUCAGUACACAAUGCCUAGUACGCCACAGCAGAAUGGUGUUGCUGAAAGGCGUAAUCGCACAUUAAUGGAAAUGGUUAGGAGUAUGAUGAGUUACUCUUCUGUACCUAUUUCAUUGUGGGGUGAAGCCUUAAAAACCGCAAUGUAUAUCUUGAACAGAGUUCCUAGUAAAGCAGUUCCAAAAACUCCUUUCGAGUUAUGGACUGGUAGGAAACCUAGCUUGAGACAUAUACAUAUAUGGGGUUGUCCAGCGGAGACAAGAAUCUAUAACCCACAUGAGAAAAAUCUUGAUGCAAGAACGAUAUCUGGAUAUUUCAUUGGCUAUUCGGAUAAAUCGAAAGGGUACAAAUUUUACUGUCCUAACCACAAUGUGAGAAUAGUUGAAACCGGUAAUGCCAGAUUCUUAGAGAAUGGUGAAAUCAGUGGGAGUAAUGAACCAAGAAAGGUAGAUAUUGAGGAGAUAAGAGUGGAUAUCCCACCACCUUUUUUAACUCAAGAAAUUAUUGUCCCUCAACCUGUUCAACAAGUUGAGGAAAAUGAGCAACAUAAUAGAGAUGGUUCAUUACUACCAGAAAAUAUUGCCAUUGAAAAUGUUGUAGAGCCACCACAACCGGCACCUUAGAGGAGAUCUCAAAGAGAAAGGAGACCUGCCAUUACAGAUGAUUAUGUGGUGUAUCUACAGGAAUCUAAUUUUGAUAUUGGGAUAAGGAAGGAUCCGGUUUCGUUUUCACAAGCCAUGGAAAGUGAUGAUUCUAGUAAAUGGAUGGAAGCUAUGAAUGAAGAGUUGAAAUCUAUGGCCCAUAACGGUGUCUGGGAUCUCAUCGAAUUGCCUAAUAGUUGUAAAUCCGUCGGCUGUAAAUGGGUCUUUAAGACAAAGCGCGACGUUAAAGGCAAUAUCGAACGAUUUAAGGCCAGAUUUGUGGCCAAAGGUUUCACUCAAAAGGAAGGUAUCGAUUACAGAGAUACCUUCUCUCCAGUUUCCAAGAAAGAUUCACUUAGAAUCAUCAUGACACUUGUAGCUCAUUUUGAUUUAGAGUUACAUCAAAUGGAUGUGAAAAGUGCAUUCUUAAAUGGGAAUUUAGAUGAAGAUAUCUACAUGGAACAACCUGAAGGGUUUGCAAAGAAAGGAAAUGAACACCUAGUUUGCAAAUUAAAGAAAUCCAUUUACGGUCUUAAACAAGCUUCCAGACAAUGGUAUAUUAAGUUCAAUAAUACCAUUACAUCUUUCGGAUUUAAAGAGAACAUUGUUGAUCAGUGUAUAUAUCUGAAAGUUAGUGGGAGCAAGUUUAUAUUUCUGAUACUGUAUGUGGAUGAUAUUUUGCUUGCUAGUAGUGAUCUUGGUUUAUUACGUGAAACCAAGGAAUAUCUCUCUAAAAACUUUCAUAUGGUUGAUAUGGGUGAGGCAAACUAUGUUAUUGGCAUCGAGAUCUUUAGGGAUCGAUCUCGAGGAGUACUAGGUUUAUCUCAGAAAGGAUAUUUUGAUCGAGUUUUAGAAAGAUUUAAUAUGCUGUCAUGUUCAUCGGGUAUUGCACCUAUAUUGAAAGGUGACAAAUUAAGUAAAAUGUAGUGCCCAAAGAAUAACAUGGAAAGGGAGCAAAUGAAGAAAAUUCCUUAUGCAUCAGCUAUGGGAAGUUUGAUGUACGCUCAAACAUGUACAAGACUGGAUAUCAGCUUUGUUGUAGGCAUGUUAGGAAGAUACCAAAGUGAUCCAGGAUUCGAACACUGGAAAGCUGCAAAAAAGGCGAUGAGGUACUUACAAGGGACAAAGGAUUAUAUGCUCACAUAUAAAAGAUCAGAACAAUUAGAGGUUGUCGGUUACUCGGAUUCUGAUUAUGGUGGUUGUCUCGAUAGCUUAAAGUCAACUUCAAGAUUUGUCUUUAUGCUAGCAAAUGGGGCAAUCUCAUGGAAGAGUGAAAAACAAUCAAUUACUGCUUCAUCCACGAUGGAGGCCGAGUUUGUUGCUUGUUUUGAAGCUUCAAGUCAUGCUUUAUGGUUGCGGAAUUUUAUCUCAGGGCUUGGUGUUGUCAACUCUAUUGCUAAACCUUUAAGAAUAUAUUGUGAUAACACCGCAACUGUUUUCUUCUCUAAGAAUGACAAAUUUUCUAGUGGAUCGAAACACAUGGAUUUAAAGUAUUUAGUUGUUAAAAAAAGAGUCCAGAAACAACAAGUGUCAAUUGAAAAUAUUAGGACCACACUUAUGGUUGCUGAUCCAUUAACUAAAGGAUUACCUCCAAAGGCAUAUUUGGAACAUGUUAUGAGGAUGGGCCUUUUGACUAAUCCAUAAUAUGUAUGAUAAUGAAUGGUGGUUAUGUAAUUGACAAUUUGCGCAUUAAAAUUGUUUAUGUUUAUUCUUAUUUUCAAUUAUGGGUGCACGUUUUAUUGUUUGAUAAACAAGAAUUGUCUUGACAAGACAAAUUACAAGGGCUAUUUGGCAUUAAGGACUGAGUUAGUAAGGGUUAUUGAUGUGUGGUGCAUGGAAGGAAACAUGACAUUAUGGUUAUGUGACCGCCAUGACUCGCAUUUAUGAUCUAAACUGAUUCAGUAUUAUGGUAUAUGAUUUUGGACGUAUUGGCGAAGUUUAUUGAAAUCGUGAUCACAUGUCAAAUUUAUUUUCCAGUAUAUAUUUUAUGUAUAAAAACUAAAUAUAUUAUAGUUUUCAUAAUCGGUUUAGUGGGCCAAGUGGGAGAAUGUUAUUUCCACAUUAAAAUUAAGUGGGUGGCCCACUAACCUAGUAUUUAGCCAAUUAAAAGAAUACCUAAAAUAUUUAAACUGUUAUAAAGAUAUUUACCCUUUGAUGGAGUGGGUAAAUUAUAAUAAUAAUAAUAUUAUUAUUUGGAAUAAAAAACAGUUAUUCGAAUAACACGUUCAUAAUGGUUUUUGAACGUGUAUUUUUGACCCUCUUCUCCUAUCAAUAAGAUAUAUAUACAGAAACCCCUUCAUGUGCUGUGAGUGCUCUCUUCCAUCAAUUACAGAAAACAAUUCUGUGUAUUAAAGUUUGAUAAGGAGAAGAAGAGAUCAAGGAUUUAAGAUCUAUAAACUGAAGGGAAAUCUCUCAUAGCUGCGUGUUCUUCAAACGGUAUGUAAUCUAUUUUAAUUAAUGUUUUUAUUAUUUUAUUUUUCAGAGAUGAGUUUGAAUUCAAUGAUCUGGAAUAUUGUGUGUUAAUUUCCGUGUUAAAUGUCAACAGUACUAACUUGCAUGUCAAAAGCAUCCGUAGCUGUAGUUUUUAGUUCAAACCUUGGCGAUAAUUUGGAUAACUUGUAGGGCCGAGGCUUUAGAACUUUGGUUUUAGAAUGUGUUUGGGGUUUAUCUCUCCCUUCGUCCGGGAAGUGAACCAUCUUUUUAAAGCGGUGAGUAUGCCAGUAAUUCUUGACAUCAUUAGCAGUCCUCCCUGGAAGUCUGCCCGCGAUCAAGGACCAUCUAUACAAGCACAGCAUGCAACAGAUCAACUAUCAAGUACAAGCACCACAUGGAGGCUUUUCUAAUUUGGAAUAUAGCUUCAGAAUUGAUAUAAUAAUAUCAUGUUACCAAUAUUAUGUUCCUUUGAUGAGUCAAAGCUGGUGCCCUUCUUCCUUUCCUAUUUUUUUCCUUGGAUAAGUCAACCCUUCCCAUUCCACUUUUCUUCAGGUGUUUGGUCUAAGACUCUAAAAUCAUUUUUAAAUUUUGAUUUUCUCUAUUGAAAAUAAUAUUCAUUUUUUCCUUAUUUUUUAAAAUCUACUUAAUUAAAAAAGCAAAAUUUAUUUUUUGAAAGUACAAUUCAUUUAUUCAUUAUUUUUUCAUUUUCUUUAUUAAAAUUUUAUUUUAACAUCAUGUGUAAUUAAAUUAACAUUAAAAUAAAUUAAUUUUUAAUAUAAAAAUACAUUCAUCUAUAAUAAUUAAUAAUAUAAAAAAUAAAAAAUACUAAUAUUUUAAACAAUAUUGAUUUCAAAUAUAUAAUAUUCAUAAUAUUUUUAUAUUUAUAAUAUUUAUAAUUUUCAUAUCAUGAAUCUCAUUUUUUAUAUUUUAUAUUUUUGAACUUUUUUCUAGAAUAUUAAACCUAAAUUUUUAAAAAUAAAAAUAAAAAUAAACACCAUCCACAUGCAUAUUCUGUAUAGGUGGUAACUCAUCUUUAACUAGCUAGUUGGAAAGUAAUUUUAGAAGCAUGCAUAAGUUAUUAUUCUAAUACAUGAUUUGGAUAUUAUUUUCCCCAAUAUAUACUAUCCAUAAAACUCACUUUUUUAACUUCUUAAUUCAUCCAUAUUUUUAAAAUAAAGGACCUUUACAUGAUUCCCCAAAGUUUUUUUAUUGCAAUGCCGCAUUGCUUGGCUUCCAAAUAUACUGAAGUUCAUGGACAAGGAGUAUUGUUCAUAGGAGAUGACAAUUGGCAAGUAGUACAAUUAUUAACUCUCUACGUAAAUUUACUGUUAAGAUACAGUCCAAAUGCAGCCUAGGAAUUGCUAAACAUGUGGUUCAAAUGCAUAUCUUGGAUAGGGUUCAGGCAUCCUGUUAUUAUGACAAAUACAGCCAUGAUCUUCUAACAAAGCUGAGAUUGUGAUCGCUUUUAGGCAUCCUGUUCAUCUUGUAUUUGGGAUUCCAUCAAUUAAUUUCUUAGGAGUUCAAUCAUGCACUAAUUCUUUGAUAAAUAGGAAGAACGAAAAAUACAAAAUAAUUUAAUAAAAUAAACAUUUUCUUUAUUUUUAUUAGAUUCCUGCAUUUGAACUCCUGAAGAAUUCUAUUUAAUAAAAGAAAGAUAUAAUUUGAAACUCCAGACAAGUUUUAAGCAACAAAUUCUCAAUCCAUUUCAAAGGACACUGACACGGACCUCAACCACUACCAUUUAUAGCUGCACGAGUUAUGUUUAAGUUGGGACUUCUAAUUUUAAAAUUAGUGGGAUUGAAACACGUAGAGGAGCAAAAAAAAAUAAAGAAAAAGGAGAAGAUUUUAGCAAGGUUUAAUAAUUAGUGUGAUUUUUACGUUUACAAAGCACAUCAACACUAAAGAAUUCGUUAAUUAAACAAAGAAAUCCCGAGCACUGUAUUGAAAAUUUUGACAAAAACAUUUAAAAGACAACCAACAAAAAUCAAGAAAGCAACAUUACAUCACAAAGGUAUCGAAAAUUUUGAUACAUGAAAUAUUAGCUAGCAUAGGUUGAGCACAACUAUAUAUUUAAUAGAAUGACUUAAAAGUGUUUUCAAAGUCAAAUAUUCUAAUUGGGCUCGCUGUGAUGGGAGCUCAUUUUUUUUUCUUUCUUCAAUAAGCUAUGUAUUGGAUCCCAUGGGUGGACCAUCAAGGAUACUCUCCCCGAGUGAUUUAUCGUUUGGUUAUUACAAUUCUCAACCAUUAUUUUAUAUUUUUCUUUUUUAAAUUAAUCCUUAUACCAUCAAUUUUCACCAUUGCUUUCAUUUUCAAAAUCUAGUUUCUAAACUUUUUGUAUUGCACCAUCUUCAAUCCUUAAAAUGAAUUCUUGUGAUUUGAUAUUUAGCUCACCAAGUUCAAAUAUUACUUGUAAUUGACAACCCUAUGCUCAAAGUGAAUACCAUGCAUUAUGGAUGUUCAACCAAAAUUUUUAUGUUAUUAUUGGGGGAGCUUUUCUUUUUUUUUUCGCAAAUAAUAUGGAUUCAAAUAUACCAUAUUAAUUGUGCCUAGCAAUUUGUUCAGAUUUAUCCUUGGAUCUAUCAACAAUUUUAAAUGUCCUAAAUAAAAGGGUUUUGUUUUAAGGGACAGGUAGAUAAAUUGAAAUGAUUCUAAAUGCAGUGCGGAAAUUAUAGUCAACGGCAACCACGCGGGUGUCCUUGUCAAUAAUGCAGCAAGCGUACGUGUCGUCACCCUGUGCGGGAUUGGUACCAUGUGGGUGUCCUUGUCAAUCAAAGCCCAUCCUGCUGCCUCCUGUGCACCAUCUUGUACCAAUCCCCGUCUUAUGCAUGGUUGCAAAUUGUUGAGACGAUGACAUAUGAGACUGAUCAUUUAUUUAUCAUCAUUUUUCAAUGAAGGUACUAUUAUUAGGCUAUUGCUCUGGCCCAUGAAGUAUUUUGCCUCUCGCAAUAUUCUUUUCUCCACAAAAUAGCUAGAGAACUACGAGAUAUAUGGUAUUGCUACUUGACAAAAACAUUUUAAGUUCUUUUUCUGCUAUCUAUUUAAUGCUGGGUUCGUAUUCUCAGCCACCCAUCCCCUGCUUCUUUUUGAGUGAGUGAGAGAGAUCGGUCAGCGUCAUUAGAUUGGAUGAGUAUGGGCUUACUAGGAUCAACAAAAUGUGUGGUACCUGUUGGUUCCUGCUCAAUAAUGACCCUUUAAGCAGCCGCCCCAGCGCCUCCAAUUUUUUAAGCAGAAAAUUGUGUUUUCAACCCUUAUAAUUUGAUAAUUAAGAUAAAAUUAGAAUGGAUGAAGAGUUUUUAUUUUAAGUACUCAAUUAAAAUAUUUUUAAAUAAUUUAAUUUUAGAAGUGGAUUAUAUCAAUACAUAGUAUAAAUUGAAUUUUUCUUAUAUAAAAGGAUUGAAAGGUAUAUUUACUUAUUUUAGAUGAAAACAAGUAGUUAAAAAUUAUAUAGAUUACAUUUGAGUUUGGUUUUAAAAUAUUUUUCUAGUCUUUAUUUUUUUAUUUUUAAAAAUAAUUUUUAUUUUUUAUAUUGCCUCUUUUUGAAAAUAGCAUUUAAUUAAAAAACUGAAAACUAUUUUUAAAAAUGAAAAUUGAAAACCUUGUUUAGCAUUAUUUUUUUAUAUGAAAAUAAAAAUAAAUAAAUUUAUUUAUUCAUUUAUGUGAAACCAAGGUUUGGUUGUGAAACCAAGGUUUGGUUAAUCUUGAUUUUGAUGAUAACAAAACAAGGUUUAGAACUAAUGAUCAUAUUUCAAGUGUGAUUAGGCAAGACGACUUCCAAAGUGGCAAUCCAAAAACAAAUCAAGCCAAGGAGAAAUCAUGAAGAAGAAGACCACCUCAAAGAGAAGAGUUUUUUCAAGACCAAAACUUCUUAAGAUCUCCUUGUAAAGUUGUUGGUGCACUAGGACUUUCAUGCAUUUCAUUCUUUAUUUAUGCACCAAAAUCAUCUAAGAGUAAUAUUGUUUUAAAUAUCUUAAGAAUCGGAUGAUUUCAUGUUUUCAACUAAAACCUUGUGUUAAAUGAUUUUCAAACUUGUGUUAAAAUGUUUUAAGUUGAAAAAGGUUGAGUGUUGAGCCAAAAAAAAUGGCUCAACCGGUUCAAACCGUCGACCGGUUGUGCUCGUCCGGUCAAGGACCGGUUGAGGGAGGCCAAAAAGUUUUUCUCUCUCCUAGUGGCUUUCUCUUCCCGGUCAAGGUUGAACCUCAACCGGUUGAAGUCCGAUUGAGGCCCAACGGUCACUUUUCCUAACGGCUAGUCAACCGGUCGAACCCCCAAUGGCUAGUUUGGCUUUUUUCUUCUAUAAAAAGGCUUCAAUCUUCAUUGUUUUACAAGCUUAACCUUCCUAAAUCAUUCUUGAUUAUAUUUGAGCCUUGGAAGAGUGUUUUUGAGUGCACCAUUGUUUCAUAACUUGCAUAUCUUUAGUGCACCAUUCAAUCCUAAUUUUUCUUGUAUCUUUGAGUUUAAAGUUCUAUUACUAGGAUUUUUGUGAGAUCAUUAUUUGUAUAUCUUUGUGAGGAAUUUUCUCAAGUGAGGGGUAUCACUUGAGAGGUUGUUCAAGAGAGGGACAUCUCUUGAAGAAGUGUAAAGGGUGCUUAGAGCCAAAAGUCCAAGAGGGUGAAUUGGAACCAUAAUCCAAUUGUAAAGAGAUUGGAAGCUUGGUUGAAGCUUCAAGAUAGUGGAACCCUCACUCGGUUAGGAGGUUGAGGAGAGUGGACGUAGGCAAGGAAGUGCCGAACCACUAUAAACUCUCGUGUUUGCACUCUCUCUUCCCUAACUCUUUUAAAUUAUAUGCAAUUAUCUUUAUUUUGUUUAUUAUAUACUUGCAUAUAAUUGUCUCUUAUUUUUGCAUAGUUUAAAUUUGUGAAAAAGAGACCAUCACCCCAUUUACCCCCCCCCCCCCUCUAGGGUGAUUACCAUAGUUUGGAUUAGCCUCAAAUUCCUAACAAUUUAUUGUGUUACUAUACAAUUGUAUUACACUAAUCGUACAAGGGAAAUGUACUAAGUGUACAAAAGUGGACAAGGAUACCAUUUGUGAAAUAUUAUAAUUGAUUAUGAGUCAUUCCUUUAUUUUUCUUAUCACUCAUGUAUUGUCCACGUAUGUCAUGCACUUUAUUUAAUUCCUACAUGGAAAUUCUAAUACUUUUCCCAAUAAUGAUAUUUGGGGAAAAAAAUUUUGACCUUAAGUCAUCCACCAUCUUCUCAACUAAACCAUUGAAAAUAUGAUUAAACACUCCUACAUAUACACAUAAUUUAAGAGGGAUAUGAAAUUUGUGUUAUUAUACAAGGGUAUUACACUAACUGUACAGGGGAAAUGUACUAAUUGUACAAAGGUGCACAAGAUUACCUUUUGUAAAUGAUUUUAAUCAAUUCUAAACCACUUUUUUAUUUUCUCUAUCACUCAAGGAUUGUACACAUAUGUUAUGCACUUUAUUUAACUCUCACAUGAAAAUUCAAAUAUUUUCCCCAAUAAUGAUAUCUGGGGAAAAAAAAUUGAUCCUAAGUUAUUCACUAUUUUUUCAAUCAAACCAUUGAAAAUAUGAUUAAUACAUCUAUAUGGACAUAUAACUUAUGGGGGAUAUGAAAUUUGUGUCAUUGUACAAGAGUAUUACACUAAUUAUAUAAGGGAAAUAUGCUAAGUGUACAAGUGUACAAGGCUCCUAAUAGGUUUUGUACGAUUUUUAAACAACUUGAGUUUGACAUUAAGAUGAUUAUUGAUAGUUUUGUUUUGUUUUUUUUACCAAACUAUGUCAUUAAGACAUUCCUUACAAAAAUUAACACAUAGGAAAUAAAAUUAAAAUAAAUCAUAUUUGAAUUGUUCAUUAUAAGUAAACUAAAUGAAAUAUAUUUUUUUACUAUUUUGCCUUUAUAAACAUAAUUUUAUUGUUAUCAAUAGAGUUUAAAAAAUCAUAUUUAAAUGGAAUUAAAAAUAAACAAAAAUUAUUUUUAUAACAUUUUUUAUUUUUUUAAAUCAUUAAUUUAAAUUAUGAAAUUAGUUUUAAAAUUAAAAAUAUUUGUUGUAAUUAUAGUUUUGAAGAUUUCAUGAUUUUUAUCUUAUUACUUUGAAAAAAUUGCUUUAAGAAGAAAGUAUUUAUUUUAAUGGUUUUAAAUAUUUAAAUCUUUAUUAAAAAAUAUUUAGGAUUAGUGUGGAGAGCAAUUAGGUAAUUUUGGAAUGGAGAAAUUUUGAAUACUUUGAAAACUUUAAUUCGGCCAAUUACCUUAUUUACACUUUUAAAAUUAUUGGAAGGUUGGUAAAUUAGUCUUAGAAAUAUUGUCUUCUUGAUUAAUAUUAUAUAUAUAUGCAUGUGAGUGUUUACAUUAUUUUCGAAAUAAUAUGAGAAAUAAUAAACAACAUGUGUCUAAUUUGCAAGUUAGAAAAAAAAAUUAAUAAUACUUUAUGAGGUAUUUAAAAAGUAUUUAUUAUAUGUUCUAUAAAUUUGAAAAAAAAAUAUUCAUAAUAUCUAAUUUACAAGUUAGAACAAACAAAUAAUACUAAUAUUUUAUGAGGUGUUUAAAAAUUAUUUAAUAUAUAUGAGAAAUAAUAUAAGUUUGAAAAAAUAAUAAUAUUUGAUGAGGUAUUUAAAAGUUAUUCACUUCAAAAAUGUAUUUGACAAUAAUAAUUUUUAACUAUCUUUCAUAUUCAAUUUGAUGAAGAAAAAUGAUUCAACUUAGUUCCACUAUUAAAUAGGUGAGAAAAUGGUAAAAGAGUUAAAGAGGGAAUGAGAAAGGUAAAGUGAUUGGUUAGUUUUUUCAUUUAAUAGUUAAGGGUAUUUUGGGGAUUUUUUUUAAAGACAAUAUCCUUCCUUUCGAUUUCUACUAUUUCAUUGGGUUUUAAGUUUAAUUAUGAGUGAUAUUAUGACCUUACCUCAAUUACCCAAUUUAGCUGGCUGAAAACACAAUUCUCCAUUUUUUAUGAUUCUGCAAAAAGAUAUGUUUGGAUUUGUUUGGGCAAAUCUCUCCCAUGGCCAAGGCAACUUACAGGAUUUUUGAGGAAUAGAUUUAUGAGGGACCUAUUCUUUAUAUCUGCAUUUCUUGUCACAUUGUGAUUAUAUACGCCGAGCUUUAUAAUUUCCUUCAGGUCAUUAUAACUCCUUUUUAUCUUCACAUUUAGGACAUGUUUGGUACUUGGGAUGAGAAGUGGGAAUGAUCCUGUCAUCUCUUCCCAUGUUUGGAUGAUUCAAAUAUUAAUAGGAAUGGAAUUAAGAACGAUUCCAAAUAUAAUGAAAUCGAGUUGUAAGUGGGAUAUCAAUUCGUUAUUAGGAUGAUGUAUUUUGAUUCUUUAGUACAAGUUAUUUUUAAAAAUAUUUUUCAAAAAUUAAAAAACCAAAAUCUUUUUUUGGAUAAAUUGUUUUUAAAAAUAAAAUUUUAUUUUAUAUUGUAAAAUACAAUUUGUAAAUUCAAUUUAUAUAAUAUAAAUUAAAUUUAAUUCAAGUCUUAUUAAAAAUAAAAAUAUAUUUAAAUUUAUAAAUAAAUUAAAAAUUAAAUACUUCUUUAAUAAAAUUUUAAUAUUAAUAUUAUAAUAAAACCAUAAAUCAUAUAUAUAUAUAUAUAUAUAUAAUUGAAUAUCAACAUCUUAUAAAAGCAUAAUUAAUUUAUUUUAUUAAAAAUAAAUAAUAAUAAUUCAAAAUUAAUAACUUUUAAUACUAUUUUAUUUUAAAUGAAUUUAAAAACAAAUAAAGUUUAAUUUUUUAAAAGUAUAAAUGAGCUAAAUUUUUCAUUACAUUAGUAUAUACAUUUAUUACUCAAUUAUCGACAUGGUACUCUAAAUUUUUUUAUUUAAUUUAUAAUUAAUUAAUCAUUUUUUUAUUUCAAAUCAUUCUUACAAAUUAAAAGAUUCAUUAAAGAAUUUAAGUCUAUUAUUUUUUAUACUCAUUAUAUAUAGUUUUUGAGUUUCAUAUUAGCUUUAAAAAUUAUUAAAUUUAUUAAUAAAUUUAAUACAAAGUUUUGCUUGGUUUGAAAUCCAUUUCUCUAAUAAAAAGAACUCAGCAAAACAAUUCAUUAUUUUAUGUUUUUUUUUUCAAAAAAUAGAAAAAAAAUUACUUUUAGAUAACAAUAGCCAAAUAAUUAUAUAAUUUUUUUUUAAAAUUAUUAUUUUUAAAUCAUACGUCUCAAAUAGGUUUUCUAUUAUUUAGCCAAAAAAAACUCUUAAAGGUGUCUUUUAAAUAAAAAUUAAAAAUUAAUUUUAAUUAUGUAUAAAGUGAGAGGUUUUAUAAUGAAAAUAAAAAAUAUUUUAAACUAAAUAUACAAAUAUUACUAUCAAUUUAUUUCUUUUUUCAUUUUCAUUCUCGUACGUAUUUGGUAUGCGAGAAUAAGGAGUGGGAAUGAAUAUCUCAGUCAUUUUUUCUUUUAUUUCUAUAUUUGGAUAACUUAUAAAUAAUGAUGAGGAUGGAAUCAAAAGCGAUUGCAAUGAGAAUUAAAUCUCACUUAUAAGUGAGUUUUCAAUUCAUUUGAUUAUGAGGUAUUUUGAUUCCUUAAUGUAAGUUAUUUUUAAAAAUACUUUUUAAAAGUAAAAAAAAAAAAACAAAGGACUUUUUUAGAUAAGUUAUUUUUAAAAACAUUUUUUAUUUUGAUUUUAUAAAAAACACAGAUUAUAAAUUCAAUUUAUACAAUAUAAACUAAAUUUAAUUCAUGUCUGGUUAAAAAAAAAAACAAAUUUUUUAGUUACAAAUAAAUUUAAAAUAAAUAAUUUUUAAUAAAAUAUGAGAUGUUCAUUCCCGCUCCUACCAGUACCAAACAUGUCCUGAAAGUAGGUCUCUUCCAAGGCCCUUGGUUAGGAAAUCGACCAAAUUUUCUUUGGACUUGGACAUAUUCUAAAGCCACUGUCCCAUUAGAGAUGAGUCUUUUUACAUAUUUCCCAUUAAAGAUCUCACUAUAUACUCUGAGCAUUGCGGCAUGAUUUUCAUACCACACAAUGAUGGUUGACUCUGCCUUAUUCCAUAUCGGUACUUCUUCUGAUAUAUUCCUUAGCCACUUAGCUUUCUCUCCAGUAAAUGAGAGGGCCAUGAACUCAUACGGAAUUGUGGAAUGAAACCUUUUCUUGUAACCGUGGGAAUAUAUGAGCAUGGAUUUUGUACUAAGGUUGCCUAGACCACAAUGUAGGGUUGACACAAUUUUUGUGGCGUUAGAUCACUUCUCCAAGAUAGCUCACUUUAUUCCUUAUGAGAAUACCAUUGAUGCCUCACAAGUUUCUCAAUUGUUUUUCAAAGACACAGUUCGACUUCUUGAAGUUCCUUGGACCAACAGGUGACACAAGAUUCAUGAAUCAAUUUUGGCACACUCAAUUUAUAAGGACUAAACUACAAUUUUCAAGCACUUGCCAUCCAUAAACUGAUGGACAAUCAGAGAUGGUGAAUCAAACUUUGGGAAAUUUGCUAAGGAGUCCUACUGGUGGCAACCAUGAAAAGAAUAUGUUUUUUUUUCCUCAAUCAGAAGUCCUCUCUCUUGGUUUUUGUUUUUCUUCCUAAAACGACAGUCAAUACUUUUAUGUUGUGAAAAAAAUGAUUCUUAUAUUUAUAGUUUCAUUCAUGACUUGAAAUAAGAAAAUUGAUCAGUAAAACAACCAAUCAGGAUUCUUGGACAUCUUAAAAGGUAAUUCUGAAAACCUUAUUUUACAUCCGAGAUGGUUUAUGGAAAGAGUCAAAUUCAUAAUUUUAAUCAUUCACAUGUUCUAAAUCUAUGGAAGUGUAGCACGGAGGCUGAAGAACUUGCUAGUUAUGUUCUAAAUCUGAAGAGGUGAUUGGGUGAGGGUUUACUUAAGAAGGGAGUGUUUUAUACUAGGCACUUAUCACAAGCUCCAAUGCAAGAAUUUGAGUUUUGUCAGUGAACUACUACAGCUCAAGAUGCAAUUACGGUCAUUAAGAAAAGAAUCUAUGACAAUGAGUGAUUACUUUGCUAAGAUGGACGAUAUUGCAGAUCAAUGUGCAAUGGCUGGUUGUUUUGUCAGUGAUGAAGAUUUGGUACUUUAUAUUUUAGCAAGUCUCGGAUCAGAAUAUGAUCCACUUGUAUGCAGCAUUACCACCUGUAAUAGUACUGAUCAUCUUUCUCUAAAGGGGAUUCAUGCUCUUCUACUCAAUCACGAAAGUAUAAUUGAGCAAUUGUAUGCAACUAAUUCAGAUUCACACCAUUUAUUUGCCAAUUUUGCUGCUCAUAAAAAUGGAGGAAAUCAUGGUCGUGGAAAAGGAAAUUUGAACCCUCAAGGUCGAGGUAGAGGAAGAAAUGGAGGUUUUUCUAGUAGAGGCAAUGGCAAUAAACCUAUUUACCAAAUUUUUGGUAAAAAAGGACACAUAACCCUCACUUGUUGGCAUAGAAUGGAUGAGAACUUUCAGUCUACAUCAUCCGUUACUAGCAGCAACAAUUAUAAGACAACAGUCUACAUGGCCACACUAGAUACAAUGAUUGAUUCAAUGCAGACUUACUUCCGGUAGCUUUUGCCAUAACUUCUAGCAUCCAAUUUGGGUUACCAAAACCACCUCAAACCCCACUCUCAGAUGUUCAUACCUCACCUACCUCACAACCAUCUAUGUCUUUAUCUGCUCAUGCUCCAACUCCAUGUCACCCCAUGAUUACCCGAGCCAAAGCUGGCAUUUUUAAACCAAAAGUGUAUGCUGCCCUCAAACAUCCCUUGAGUUUCUCACAUGGUCCUAUUGAACCUAUGUGUGUAAAGCAAGCUCUUGCUUAUCCAAAUUGGAAGAUAUCAAUGGAAGAAGAAUACAAGGCUUUAAUGAGGAAUCACAUAUGGGACUUGGUACCUUAUCAGCCCCAAUAUAAUGUAGUGGGCAAUAAAUGGGUGUUUAAGUUGAAGUUUCACCCAGAUGGCACUCUUAAUAAACAUAAAGCUAGGUUUGUUGCCAAGAAAUUCCAUCAAACCCCAGGUGUGGAUUUUUCAAUAACUUAUAGUCCUGUGAUUAAACCUGCCACAAUUAGAGUUGUACUAACUCUAACAAUUGCUCAAGGAUGGGAAAUUAGGCAACUGGACAUAAAUAAUGCUUUUCUCAAUAGAUAUCUGCAAGAAGAUGUGUUUAUGUCUCAACCUGAAGGUUUCAUUCAUCCUACCAAGCCUCAUCAUAUUUUCAAACCGAGGAAAGCUCUCUAUGGUUUGAAAUGGGCUCUAAGGGUCUAGUUUGAUAAACUUAAAGAUGCAUUAUUGCAGUGGGGUUUUCAAGAUUCAAAGUCUGAUGUAUCUUUGUUCCUAUAUAAGACCAAAGGAAUCAUACUCAUGCUAUUGGUAUAAGUAGAUGACAUCUUGAUUACCGGAAAUAAUAGCAUAGUAAUUUCGGACUUGGUUCAUGACCUCAAUAAGAGUUUUCUUCUAAAGGAUGUUGGUUCAUUACAUUACUUCCUAGGAAUUGAAGCCUUUCGAGAUGAAACAGGUCUCUAUUUAACUCAUUCAAAAUACAUUGCCGACCUGCUUCAAAAGACAAAUAUGGAUACAAUAAAGCCCUUACCAACACUAGCUAUUUUUGGAAAAGUGUACUCCAAAUCAAGUAGUGAUCUAGGGAUAAUCCAAUCAUGUAUAGAAGCAUAGUUGGAGCCUUGCAAUAUGUUACAAUCACAAGACCUGAUAUAUCAUACAUGGUUAGUAAGUUGAGUCAGUUCUUACAAAGUCCAACAGAGAUACUUUGGAGAGCUUGUAAAAGAGUAUUACGAUAUUUGAAAGGAACUAUCACUCAUGGUUUGCAUUUCCAGCCAAACCAAUCUUUAAAUCUUGUGGGUUUCAUAUAUGCAGACUAGGAUAGCUGUCCAGAUGAUGGAAGAUCAACAAGUGGUUAUUGUGUGUAUCUAGGAGGUGAUCUUAUUUCUUGGAGCUCAAAGAAAUAAAGUGUUGUUGCUAGGUCUAGCACCAAAUCAGAAUAUCGAGGCUUAGCUCAUGUGACAGUUGAGGUGAUUUGGCUCAAGUCCCUAGCAACAAAAUUGGCCCUUCAAUUGAGAUUAAGACUGGCAAUCUAAUGUGAUAACCAAGGAGCCGCCUCACUAGCUGCUAAUCCCGUUUAUCAUGCUAGAACUAAGCAUAUUGAAAUUGAUAUACAUUUCAUUUGUGAUAAAGUACUUAAAAAAGAAUUGGAUAUAUGGUUUGUACCCUUAGUAGAUCAAAUAGUUGAUUUGUUUACAAAACCACUUUCAAUCACUCGAUUCUUGAAACUUAAGGCCAAACUCCAGGUGAAAGAAUCCUUCUUUUGUUUGAAGGGGCGUGUAACGACAAAUAGUGCACAACUGAAGAACAUAAUUGCAACAGCUUCAGCCAUGUCAUCCUCUCCGGAAGCUUCUGCCAUGUCAACUAUUAGCUAAAGAUUUGUUAGAUUCUAUUUUUGAUUAGUUAGCAUUAGCAAAUUAGUUAGCAAUAGAUUAGUAAGCAAAAUAGAACACUCUGCUUUUGUAUAUAUAUAAGUAGAAUAGAACCAACCUCUGUUUCAAGUAAUGAGAAACAUAAAUAGUUUUCUUCACACAUAGGAUUUGUUAUUUUUAUUUUUCUAAAAAUGUUAUAUAUUAAAGGAGACAUAAUAUUUACGGGGUUCUAUAAGAAUGUGUUAUCUAGAUCCUCAAAUAAUGAUUAAUCCAUUAAUUUUCAAAUCAAAACUACAAAGUAAAUUAAGAGAGCUUUCUCCACAUAAAUUGGUUAAAGCCUUUAAGAUUGGCAAAAACCACAAAGAUGGACUAAAGUUAUUCUAACAACUCUACCUAAAGUCAUUCUCACACACUCAAGCCACACUCUAACCAAAGGAAUUAGACUUCUUACUAGGACCACAAACCUUCAGAAAACCAAUUCCUACUCUUUGUAGUACAAAGACUCCUAACAUGUAACAAAUUAAUUAUCAAAUCAUAAUCCUUUAGGACAAAGAUUCCUAAAAUACAUCAAGUUUUUAAUUUUGUUAAAAAACAAUAAAUCUUUACCUUAAACAAAUUUUAAAUUUUCUUCCAACUUUCCAAAUUCAAAACAUUCUUUGAUAAGCGAACACUUACAUAUAUAAUCAGAAUAGUGCAAUUAUAAAGAUGUCUUAUGCGUGGAAUAUUGAAGCCAAGUCAACUGAAAUGUUGAUACUGGGUCAACUGAAGGUAGCUUCUCCAUUGGUUGUGAUAGUGGAAGCUUCUUCCCAACAACUGGAGACUGGGUCGACUUCUCCCUUACACAAAGGAUGUUCGGACAGGUUGUCCGAGCACACUCUCCGAAGCUCAAGUCAGGCACCAAAUGGAUAGGAACCUUUAGAAAGGAGAGUAAAUAGGGGAACCCUCUAGUCUUGCGUACCUGGGCUCUGUUUUAAGAGGAUUUUUAUUGUGCUCAAGGGGAAAAGCACUGUAGUGCUAAGUUGGCACCUUGACCUAAUCUGUAAUAAUGGAAGUGAAGAGAUAGAGGGUUAUGAGGAUAGGCUUUGAGAAAAAAAGUUAACGAUGUUUCAUAAUUGAGAACCUGGGUGGGCAUUCUAUUUAUUAGAUAACAUAGUAAGAACAACAUUCCCUUAGAGGUAUUUUGACAUAUUAUUUGUGAAUAUAAUGGCUCUAGCUACUUCUAGAAGGUGGUGAUCCUUUCUUUCAACAAUGUAAUUUUGUUGUGGGGUUAUUAUGUAGGAGAUUUGAUGAAUAAUGCCUUUCUUAGAGAGAGAACUUCCUAGAAUAGAUUUAAAAUAUUCUUUUUCGUUGUCUAUUUUGAGAAUUUUAAUGUUCGCAAUGUAUUGGGUGUUAAUCAUGACAUAAAAUUUUUUGAACACUCACUCUAGUUCUGAUUUUUCUUUCAAAAGAUAUACCCAACAAACCCAAGCGUGAUCAUCAAUAAAUGUGAUAAAUCAUUUUUUUUCAUUAAAUGUUUAACUCGUGAAGGGCCUUAAAUAUUACUAUGGACUAAUGAAAAAGAUGAUGAAGACUUAUUUUUUAGGAGAAUAAAUGAAAUGAACAUGCUUGGCUAAGUGACAAAUUUCACAUUCAAAGAAAUCUCCAUUAUGAAAUAGUGAUGGAAACAAAGUUCAUAAAUAUGAAAAGCUUAGGUGGCUUAGUCUAUGAUGGCACAACAUUAUUUUUUGUUCUUUAGAAAGAGACUUACAACUCACAGUUUGAGCUUGUUUAUUCAAUUCGACUUCCUUCUCAAAAUAAUAUAACCCCUCAUGUUCUUUAGCAUUGCCAAUCUUCUUCCCCUAAAUCAGGUCUUGAAACACAGAAGAAGACUCAAAGAAAUGAGCACCACACUUUAAAUCUUUAGUCAACUUACUAAUAGAAAGAAGGUUGCAAGACAAAUUUGGAACAUGCAAUACAAAGUGUGGUUCAAUAUUAGGACCAAUUCUAAUAGCUCUAGUUCUACCACUGGUGAAAGAGAUCUUUCUCCUAUUUUAUCUUUGAAACUUCCUAAACUAGGAUUAUAUGAUGAGAAAAUUUUUCAUAGCCCAUCAUGUGAUCUAUGGCUCUAGAGUCAAUCACUCAUGGUUCCAGAUCCCUACUACAACUACUAAGAGCUAAGAAAAAAUUACCUCCAUAUGCUAGUAAUAAAGUAGUGGUGUCCUGUGAUGGUUUGAGUAGUUUGUACAAUUUUUUCAUUUUUCCUUUGGUAAGCAAGAACUAUGUACGUUCUCCAAAUUUUACCUCAAGCUAGGACCCGAUUUGUUAGAAAUCUCAGCUAAAAUUUGAAAACCAGAGUGAUCUCGAUUUCCAACCCUACUGUCCUUUGAAUUUGGUGGCUUACCAUGUAACUUCUUGUAGCAAUCUUUAGUGUGAUUUGUUUUCUUAUAGAAAUCACACCAAAGAUUGUUUAUCUUUUACUUCUUAGGGCAUUCUUAACCACAAACUUUGAAACUUCAGGUAAUGAUGGUUUUGAUCCACCUAUCAUAACCCAUUUUCGGCUUGACUCUCUUUGAACUUCAACAAAUAUUUAAGUAAUCAAUGGGAAAGGUUUGAUUCCUAGAAGUCAACCCCUGACUUCAUCAAGAUCAGGAUUUAAUCCUACCAAAAAAUAUCAGACUCGUUCUGUUUUAACCUACUUUUUGUAAAGUUUAGCAUCCUUAGGAUUUGACCAUGGAAUUUGGACAUAAAGAUCAAUUAAUUUAUUGCCACAAGUGAGUCAAGGCAUUGAAUUAUUAGGUAACAUCCAACUCCCCUAGUUUCAAAUCACGGGCUCCAUUUCCAAGUUAAAAAAAUUGGGUUAAGUUUUCCAUGUCUAAGCAUGCUAAAGUUUGUGCAUCCCACAUCUCCUUAGCAAUGGAAUAAUAUAAGAUAAGAUUCCUUGAUAUCUUAUUUCAUGGAGUUCACAAUCAAUGCCAUAACCAUAGAGUUUCGUGCAUCCCAUGUUGGAAAAGAGAGAUUUCUUGGAUUAUGUUUUAUUAUUGAACCAUCCACAUAUAACUAAGGUGGUCUCAUCCUCAUAUCACCAUUAGAGCAUACGGAGACCAUUGAAGGAAACUUUGAUUAUUUAGUUUCGUGGUUGUAAUUUGAAGCGGAGAAUUUUCAAAAAAAAAGUUGAAAACGAGGCUAUAGUGGAUGAACUUGUAGGGAUGGGUUGAGAGACUUUUGAAAAGACCUCAAAACUAGCAUCCUUGCACUCACCAGUGAAGGUUGUUCUAUACAUCUUUUUGUCUCAACUGAUACUAGCUCUGAUACCAUGAAAUUGGGUAAGAAAAAAAAAAACAGACCGUAAAUUGGAGAUUGCUUUUGUUUUAUUAUUUUAUUUCUUCAAUACAAGUAGAUUUAUAGGAUAGGUUUUGUAACAACCAACCCUUUAUUUUAAGAGAUUGACACCAGCUAUUUUUUAGGAUAUUCUAAUCAACUAUAAUAUCACAACUAGCAAUUAUCCUUAUUUAGAGAAUAGUAAUUAUCCAAGAUUCUCUAUAAUCUAUUUCCUACUUACCCUUGGAUCUCUAUUUUCUUUACAAGAUGCCAACUAGUGGAGGAGCUUUUAGGAUAACAUUUUGGGACCUAUAAAAGCCCUCAUAUCCGUUAGAAAUGGAACUUUGGGUUAUUAGGGAGAAGGAAAGAAGUUGAGUUUCAUCUAGCAUCUCUAUUAACUCCUGUCUUUUCUUAAGCUUAGUAAUUUUUCGUUGCAUUAUUCAUAAGUAACUAGCCUUUGAUUUUAGUCUUAUUCCUCAAAGUUUUUUUUAGAGAUUUUGAGAACUUUAUGUUUCAUCAUGAUGUUGAUUUUAAUUGUAGAUUCUAAGAUGGUUUUCUUUGUUCUUCUAGUUUUGAGUUGUGAGUAGUUUUCUAAGCUUGAGAGGAGGAGUCCAUGAGACUUCUUUCAUGAAAAACUAAUUUACAUCAUGGGGUGAAUGGAUAGUGUUUCUACCUAGUAAUUGGAGUCCUUAUUUUGUUUGGGAAGAAACCCUAUUUUCCUCUUCUUGAAAUGGAAACUUAGAGGUGGUUUAUUUUAGUUUAUUUAUUUAAUUUUUUUUUUUUGGUUACUUCAAGUUCUUGAGGAUCUUAGGACUUUUGACUUGAAAUCACUUCCAUUAAGCUUUAUGUAAAAUGCAAAAUGAACUUAAAGAUUACAAUGUUGUGGAGGUAUUUAAAUAAAAUUUCUUUUGAGCUUUAGUUGGUAAUUUCUCACAAGUGUUUUCAGUUGUAGGUUUUUUUAUUGUGCAUUGGUUGUGAAAAUGAGCCUCAUUAGACUCCGAUCCUUAGCAUUUAAAUUUCUCUUUUAGCUAUAAAAUGGUAGGUUCAAGUGUCAAAAUUUUGUUAUUUUCUAUUUUUUUUUUCAUCAUAAAAUGUGAUUGUUCAGUGAUAUUCCAAUUUGGUCACAAACACUUAAUUUUUUUUGCGAAGAAACAGAAGAUUCAUAGAUCACAACUUUUAGUGAUGAGCUUUUAUUUACAAAUUUCAUGACAAAUUUUUUUAAAUAGUGGUGAUUUAUUAUUUAUUUAUGACAAAUACUUUCAUGACAAAAAUUGAUACUUGUUGUAGUGAGGUAUUUAAAUAAAAUUUCUUUUAGGCUUUAGUUGGGGAUUACUAAUGAGUGUUCUCAGUCCUUGGUUUUUUAUUGUGCAUUGGUUUUUAAAGAUGAAGCCUUAUUGGACCCCCAAUCCUUGGUAUUUAAAUUAAUUUGUUUUUUGCAUAGAUACAAAAUCAAUUUUCUUCUAUUUCUCAAAAUAUUUUUGGAGGUUCUCUAAUUUAUUAACCUCAUAUUAAACAAGCCUCUUUCAACCACUUAUUCAAGAGAAAAUCAUUCCCACUUUUGGAACUAAUUCACCACAUAUCUCCCCAUCUUUUGCUAUCAUUUAAAACACUCUUCUUGAGAAAACUAUACCUGAACCACCAUAUUUUUUACUUGCAAAGACUCCUCAUACUUAGGAAUUGGUACCAUCACAUUUGCAUUUCAAGCAAACACAUGAUAGUGUAGACCCUCAAUUUUAUCCCUUUAGCACAUGUCUUUAAGUUCACUUCCAAUGCUUCACAGUAGUUCCUUGGUGGCCCAUAGCUACUCAUACUACUUACAUUUUUUGAGCCACCUUGGAGACUUUGGUUGAGGGAUUUAUCUAACCCCGUUGUGACUCUUGGCAGCCUUAAUUUAGACUUAGGCCCACUUAGGCACCCUAGACCCAUUUAGAUACACUUGGCCCAUUAGGCAUUACCUUAGGCCCAUUUAGAUGCACUUGGAACCUUCUAGCUUGCACACAUUCACCCUAGGUUACUUAGUCAAUCUUUCAGAAUAGGUCACUUGGACACUUCUUUUGGAAUAGUUCACUUAGGCAUGUGCUUGAUUUUGGUUAUUUAUUUUUCAGGAUAAGAUGAGUGUUGGCUUGACUUUUUAUUACAUGAAAUGAAUUUUUUAUUCUAUCUUUAUUUUAUUUUUAUUUUUAUUUUUGAAGGUUUGAGUUUGACAUUUAAAUUAUUAUAAUCCGUUGCAUUACUUUAUUUUCUUGAUUUUUUUUAAUUGCAUACGUCUUAUAUUUUUUGUUAUACCCUUAUCGAUUUAUUUGUUUAUUUACUCACUUAUUCAUUUAUUCUUUAAUUCCAUGAAUUGACAUUUUGGAUUUUUGUGGCUAUGUGAUUUGAUUUUAUAUUUGAUUUUAUUCUAUUUCCAAUUACAUGAUUUCUUAUUUCAACUUUAUUUUAAAUUUUGCAUGAGACUUGGAGCCAUCAAGGAGAGGAGAUCACGACCAAAGAGGGAAACUUGGAAGGAAUCCGGGCUGCAUAUAGAAAGUGGGCAGAUCACGACUUUAAGAAAGAAUCCGGGCUGCAUAUGAUUUGUUUGAAGAAAGAAUCCGGGCUGCAUAUAGAAAGUGGGCAGAUCACGGUUGAGGCACAUCCGGGAGCAUAUGGAAAGAAGAUUAAAGGGGAUCUGAUCACUUACCAAACAAGAUACGACUGCAUCCUUGGGGAAAUCUCCAUGUGAGCCACACAUAAUGGGCUUCCCAUAUCCACGCGCAUGUAGGAAAAAAUGGAAAUAAGAUAUUCCAUAAGGAGUGGGUUGCCUUAUAAAUAAAGGAGAGAAUCCAAGCAUAAGAGGAAUUUUUUUUUCGAAGGGGAAUAGGCCGAAAGAAUUUUCAAACGGAGACUUUUCUUUUGGAGGGCAGAGAGGACACGAGAGCAAUUCUUUUGAGAAGACGUGUGAAGAACAUUGAAGAGCCGACACAUAACCAUAAAAAAGGGAGGAGCAGCCCACAAAAUCUCCACAAAUAACGGUUUAUAGGUAAGUGUACGCUUUCAAAUUUAUCUUUGAUUUCGUUUUGAUUCGUCCUUUUAGUCUUGAGUGUUUUAAUGAUUUUUGUUCUUUGAUUUAAUUAAUCCUAUAUAAUAAAUUUCUUGUUUUAAUUUCGAUUUAGUUUUAAUUUAUUUUUCUUCUUUAGUUUGGAUGUGUUUGUGGUUUUAAUUCUUUAGUUUAAUUUAUCCCAUUAGAUAAAGUUCCUUUUUUUAUUUAUUCCAAUUCGAUUUAGUUUUAAUUUAUCUUUUAUGUUUAGAUGUGUUUGUAGUUUUCUUUAAUUUAAUUGUUUUUAUUAUAAAAGUCCCUAUUUUUAAUUUUGAUCUAGUUCAAUUUUAAUAUAUUUUUUAUGUUUAGAUGUGUUUGUGAUAUUAAUUCAUCAGUUUAAUUAUUUCUAUUAGAAAAGUUUUGUUUUUAAUUUUGAUUUAGUUCACUGUUAAUCUACCUUUUAUGUUUAGUGUUUGUCGUUUUAAUUCGUUAGUUUAACUGUUCAUAUUAGAAAAGUUCUUAUUUUUAAUUUCAAUUUAGUUCAAUUUUAAUCUAUCUCAUAUAUUUGUGAUUUUAAUUCGUUAGUUUAAUUAUUCCUAUUAGUAAAGUUCUUAUUUUUAAUUUCAAUUUAGUUCGAUUUUAAUCUAUCCUAUAUGUUUUUGCGAUUUUAAUUCGUUAGUUUAAUUAUUCGUAUUAGAAAAGUUCUUAUUUUUAAUUUCAAUUUAGUUCAAUUUUAAUCUCUCCUAUAUGUUUAAAUGUGUUUGAGAUGUUAAUUCAUUAGUUUAAGUAUUCCUCAUAGAUAAAGUUCACAUUUUUAAAAUCCCAAAUUAGUUUAAAUUUUAAUUUAGCUGUUAGUUUAAAUAUGUUUGUGAUUUUAAUUCCUUAGUUUAAGUAAUUUAAGAGAUAAAGUUUAAUUUUAUUUUAUUUUUUUUUGGAUUAAUUUAGUUUUAGUUUAUAAUUUAAUUUGAAUGCGUUAAUGAUUUCAAUUCCUUAGUUUAAAUAAUUUGUGAGAUAAAGUUUACUUUCUUUAAUUUCAAAUUAACUUAGUUUUAGUUUAUGAUUUAAUUUGAAUGUGCAAGUGAUCCUAAUUAGUUUGAUUUUAAUUUGUUUUUAGUUUAAAUAAUCACGCUAAAUAAAGUUUGUGUUUUUAAUUCCAAUUACUUUAAUUUUAAUUCAUUUUUAACUUAAAGGCAUUCGUGGAUCUUAAUUCUUUAGUUUAAAUGAUUGUAUCAAGUAAAGUUUGAGUUUUUAAUAUUCCAAUAAUUUUAUUAAGUAGAAUUUAAUUUCAAUUCAGUUUGAUUUUAAUUUGUUUUAUAAUCCGAAGGUGUUCCUGAUUUUAAUUCAAUUGUUUGAUUAACCCUCUUAGACAAAUUCCAUAUUUUUAAUUUCGAUCUUAGUUUAAUUUUAUUUUGUUAAUUUAUUUAUUUGCUUUAGUUUAAAUAUAUUUGUGAUUUCAAUUUGAUAGUUUAGCCAAUCUUAUUAGAUGAUGAUGAUGUCCUUAAUUUAAUCUAGUAUUAAUUAUUUUUAGUAUUGAAUGUGUUUGUGUUUUUUAUUUCAUUAACUUUGAAUUUAAUCCAUUUAUAUCCAAUUUUGUAGUUGAUUAUAAUUUGGUUUAAUUAAUUAAGUCAAUCACGUGUAAUUAUUUUCAUGUUUUAAGUAUGGUAAUUUUGGCUUUGAUCUAUUGACAUUUAGUAUGAGCUUUAGGAAUUUUAGAUAAUUAAUCCAGUUAAUUGUAUGUCAUUGGUUUCAUACCUUCAAGAUUUUUGAACUUUGGUCUUUGAUUCAUCAUAUUUUGUUAAAAUGCUAAUUUACCUUAAUUAAUUCCAUAUUAUUAUCUCCAUAUGCUAAGUUUGUUGGCUUUAAUAUUUGAUUGGUUAUUUUUAUUUUAAUUCAUGUGCUUCUUGAAAUCUAAAUGUUAGUCUUGGGUAAUAUUUUGUUAGUUUGUUUUAUUAGGAAGUCAUAAAUUUGAUGCCUUAGUGAUUGUUAGUUAAAUUCUUAUUUUUUGAAGGCCACUGGAAACUCAUGAAGGUUGGUCUUACCCUCACCACUUUAAUUGACAUGAUUUUCUAAAUCUUUAUUUUGUGAUUUUCGCUUUCUUUUGUUUUGAUUGGUAUUUUGUUUUCUAUGUUUUAUUAUUUUAAAAAUUAAUUCCUUUUAUUUUAAAAUCAAAACCUUUUUCUCCGAAGACCCCUUUAAGAAAUUCUUUUUUUUUAAAAAAAAAAGAAGAAAAAAUUCAUUUAGAGUUGUUAGAAUAAAAAAACCCCAUUUUCUUAAAAUAAUAUGCAACCAUUUUUUGAUCGGUUUGCAUCUUUCUCCGUUUUUUAAUGAAAAUUUUGGUUUAAAAUCAGACACGAAUCCAAGCUUAUGGUCCCACAUAAAUGGGAUAAUUCCAGGUUAGAUUUGUGUAUAUCAAUCGGGGAAUUGGUGAAACCCCUACAUAAAAAAAAAAUAAUAAUAAAAAAAAAAUAAAAAAAUAAAAAAUCUUUUCAAAACUUAUUUUUGCUACCGUCUUUGUUGGUUGUUACAAUCAUAUCUAUUUUUUUUGGAAUUGUACAUAAGAUGUGUGUAAUAAUUGAUGAUUUCGUAUUCUUUGAUCAUUUUUGCUAUGCCAAUUAGUUAAGCAUGUUAGGGUUUCUUAUUUUACUAUUUAUUAUCUAAGCCCCCCCCCCCUCUCCUGCGGAAGCACACUAUGAGCUAUAUAUGCUAUCCAGGUACGUUCCCUAAUACCCACUUUCUAAACCCCGUGAACAUGAUUGUCAUUGCGUACUAUGCCCAUGCUUGCUAUCCUAUUUGAUUGCCUUGAUAUAUAUUUGAUGCUUGUUUGAUUAUCUUUGACAAAAACACAUGUUGUGAUAUAUUUCUAUAUUAACUUUUAUGUUUCAUGAUAUCACUUGAGAAGCCGUUCAGGUACGCACUUUGAUUCUCUCUUAUGAUCAGACUUUCUUAUUUGACAUGCUAUUUUUUGAAAUCACCUAGCCUACCUAGGUAUCCAUGAUCAACCAUUUAAUUGCCACGUUUCCCUCAACUUAGUCAGUAGAGACCUCUUUAGGGCUUAGAAGGGUGCUACCUCCUAGAGGUACCUUCCUAGUAAGUAACCUGAUUCCCGGACCUAGACUCGGUUUUUUCAAAGAGAUGAUUUUUCCAAAAAUUAUGGAGUCACAUUUUAGGAUUUUUCUUUCUUGUUUUAUUUUCCCUUUAAAAUAAAAAUAAAAUAAGUGGCGACUCCGACUUUUUCCAAAAUUAAUUUUUCACAAAUAGAAAAGCAAGUCUCACCGAUCGAGCCCGCAUGUGAAAAAUACGGGUCCACAAAUUGGCGACUCCACUAGGGAUUUUGAGGAUCAAGCUUGAACACUAAUUGAGAAAAAUGUGGCAUUUAAUUGGUUGAUUAGAGGGUACCCCUUUUUUAGGCAAGGUGAUCUGGUCUACUUGUUUGUUUAGAAUGAUAUCUUAACAUGUUUGAUUGCCUUGAAUGAUCACUUGAUUGCUUACUCACUUCAGCAUGAUUCACUCUCACAUAUGCUAGAUAGGACUUUGAUUGUUUGAUAUUUAUCUGCUUCGCAUGACUGCUUGUUGCAUAACAACCAUUUCUCUUGCGUGUUCGUAUGAUUGCUUGUCUUCAUUCACUAUCUCACUUUAGAUCUUAGGUUUUUCGGAUACACCCACAUCCUUCAUUGUGCACUUUAGAUUAUCCUUGAGUGUUGAGAGAUGGGAGAGCCUUCACCAUAAAGAAACCCCCUAGGGACGCGAGGAAGUGCAUGUGUGGAGGUGAUGACCACCUUGCAUGGAAGCACCCCGUCUCCUUGGAGGCGUGCAGAGGGUUGCGUACCACUGGAGGGUACGAUCGCUUCUGCUAGGGAUCCUUUAACCCACCCAUUUUAUCCUAUAGCCACCUCAACCUUGUAAGUUAACUUAGACCCAAUUAAGAUUUCAUUCCUACACGUGGGUGCAUCUGUGGACCUUCAGAGCUGCCUUGGUCAUGAUUGGGUUCGGUUAUCCCUUAUGUAGUCUCCUUUUGGUGUGAUCAGAGAUGAGUAUCAGAUUGAGUAUAUUUGGGCUUUACUUCUACGCACUUGUCAGUUGAUUCCUACAGAGUCACAUUCGUACCGCACCUUAUCCAGUGUUUCCAUAUUUGUAGGAGGGUUUACCUUGACCGAUCUGGAUUCACUUUUGUGGAUUAGAGUUGAAGGUAGAUUGACCAGAGUAUCAGACCAGUCAGAUUAGAGAUCAGAUCAGAGGGAUAUGGACUCACAGAUAGUUACCGUCGACCAGUUUGCCGCAGCCAUGGCUUCUAUCCAGGAGGCUAUAGCUAACCUUGGUCAGAGGAUAGAUGGACAACAGACCCAACAGGUCCCAAUUCAGGAGAAUGCCCAAUUCGAUACCACAGUACCGCCACCUCCUCCGCCCAGUUAGUCAGUACCAUAGGUUAUACCUUUCACUCUGCAUAGUCAGACCGAGGUUGCCCCGUUUCCUAUCACAUUGCCUAUCCCGACCUCAGAGGACCCACAUACACGUAUGGAUAAACUUGAGCAAAGGUUAAGACAGAUGAGGGCUUCAGACGGAGUUAUUACUUAGGAGGAUUUUGAUGGAGCACCGAUAGCCAGUUUGCUAGCCAAGUUUAGGAUGCCCGAGAUUGAGAGAUACACGGGCAUAGGCUAUCCUCACAUCCAUUUGAGGCUUUAUAGUACAGUUAUGAGGGCCCACGACUGGAUGAGGCCUAGAUGGUUAUGUUUUUCCCUAUGUCCCUGAGUGGUGCGGUACAGCGUUAGUUCGCUUCAUUGGAUGUAUCACACCGUAGGACUUGGGACGACUUGACCCGGGAGUUUUUGAGAUAGUUUGCAUUUAACACUAUCAUUGAUGUUUCGAGGAGAGAGUUAGAGGUUUUGAGAUAGAGGCUAGAGGAAUCAGUCACUUCAUUCAUCUCCCGCUGGAGGGAGAAGAUUUCACAGAUCAUUAAUCGUCCUUUAGAGAAGGAUCCGAUUAGCAUGAUCAUGAGGAGCUUGCAGCCUAAAUUUGCUAGACACUUGAUGAGAUUUCCCCACACGGAUUUUGGAUCUCUAGUACAGGGUUUGUAUGGUAUAGAGGAGGGCAUUGCUAGAGGAUUGUGGCCCGAGUCUUCCCAUACUGAUUCUAAGGGGAAGAAGCCUUUAGGAGGAUAGAGAUCAAGAGAUGUUGGUGCUAUCAGUUUAGCAGGGAUGAGACUUCCUAGACACUAUCAAACGGUUGGGCAAACUUUUGGAUUCUACUAACCACCAUCACCCCAUGUGUAGUAUAGGCCACCUGCUCCCUCCAGACCCAUUACUCCUACUUACCUACAUCCAGUCUCACAGCCUGCUUUUGUCACACAUGUUAUAGAGAGACCUCCUGCCCUAUACACCCGACCCCGAGCUCUGCAGACCACCACUUAUGUGUAGAGGCCAUCACAUUAGUUCGCUUAGUUAGGUAUGCCUUUGAGUCGAGCUUUUCAUAAGCUUAUAAAGGGUGGAUUAUUGACUCCAUUGGCACCCAAGCCAGUACCUCAGCCAGUACCGCCUCAUUUUAGAUUUGACCUACACUGUUCUUAUCAUCAGGGACCAGGACAUGACACGGAUCACUGCAACGCCUUGAGACAUGCUAUUCAGGAUUUGAUAGACCAGAGUUUAGUUAACUUGGGGCAGCCAAGUGUGACCACUAACCCUCUUCCUGCCCAUUCUACACACGCAGUGCUUCCAUCUCCAAGAGAUAUUCAUCACAUGGACCUUAUAGAGGAUGACAGUAUACAUAUGUUGAGUUGGGAUGAUGGGUUACCCGAGCAAAUUGUUUUGCAUGACAGUUAUGAGAUUGAUGGGGUUUCAUUGGGUUCUUAGGCCCCUACACCAUUCAGUUUGAUCCCAGACGAGGCACCAUUCCAGUUGACUCAUCCUACACCCUUGAUUAUUGGAUGUCAUGAUACUUUUGUCCCGUUCACUUUAUGGUCAGAGGAUGAUGAUUCGGAGGGAAGAGAGAUACAGAUUGUGACUUGUAAUGGAAAGAUAGCUCAGCUACUACCACUAGUAGUUAGACCAUUUGAGGGUGCAGCCUCUCAUGAGGAGGUUAGAAUAGAGGAUGAUGAAGUUUUGAGACAGCUACAGAGCACUCAGGCCCGUAUUUCUAUUUGGAGUUUAUUAACAUCAUCCAGUACUCAUAGAGAUGCUUUGAUUCGAGCCUUGAGUCAGAUCAGGGUAGAGACUACCACCACUCCAAAGAGAUUGAUUCAUAUGAUGAAGGCCGACAGGGCCACUUGCAUUGUGUUUUCAGAUGAUGACUUGCCACUUGAGGGUUCAGACCAUGUACGCCCUCUAUAUAUCACAGUUGGUUGUUCAAGCCAUAGAGUCCCAUCUGUCCUGCUGGACAAUGACUCAGCCCUGAAUGUCUGCCCUUUAGCCACUACUGUAACCCUUGGUUUUGCACCUUCAGAUUUUGGUCCUUUUGCUCAGACAGGCAGAGCAUAUGAUAGCACUAAGAGGGAGGUUGUGGGUACCUUGGUGAUUGAUUUGAAGAUUGGUCUAGCCACAUUCUCUACUUUGUUCUAGGUUUUGAGGAUUCCUACAUCCUUUAACCUGUUACUUGGUUGACUUUGGAUACAUAGAGCUGAAGCUAUCCCUACUUCCCUUCAUCAGAAGGUGAAGUUCAUUCAUAAUGGGCAGGUUGUCACAGUACAAUCUACCAGAGAUAUGUUAGCCUCUUCCGAGCCAGUACUUCAGAUUAGUCACAGUGAGGAUGACCUAUUUUUGACUCGAUUUACUUUUGAUGAAAUACAGACUCUCGAGAUUGAGGAUUUUCGUAAAGACUUUGUGGCUAUGUCAUUUGAUUAGCACAGUAGCAUAGUGGUUCUCGAUAUGAUGAGGGGUAUGACAUUUCUACCUAGUAUGGGGUUAGGACGACGCCAGUAGGGACCCAUCAAGUUUAUAGCUGCCAUUGAUCAUGAUACAACAUUUGGACUUGGGUUCAUUCCUACCGAGGUCGAUUACCGUUACAUGACGCGGCUGUGCAAGGAGAGGGUGAGGGCCUGUUUAUCCCACACACCAUUUGAUUAUCCUAUUCGACCCUAUAGGAUGAGUUUAGUCGACUACUUUGUCAGAGGACAAGAGAUUUGACCUCGUAUAGAGGAGAUUCACAGUAUGGUUCAUACAAAUAGAAAGAUUGAGCUUCAACAUCUAUUUCACCAGUUACAGUUGAGUAAUGGGGCUCCUGGCACUUCUGUUUCUAUAUCGAUUACUCCUACGUCUCCAGAUCGAGCUAGCAUGUGGUCUCUAUGCUUUCUAGAGGAGAUCACUGAUGAUGGAGUGAUUGUUGAUCCUACUGAGAUGAUUGAUGGAGUUGUGCCUCAUGAUGAGUACCGAGAUGAGAUGGACAUGAUGACCGUGAGCUAGAUUACCAGCAUUGUUUAGCUUAAGCCUGUUUCACCAUUUGAUAUGUUUGGGAUGUCUACCAUUGAGGUUCUUGAGAGGGCCUAGAUUAUUCCUGUUCCAGAGCUUCUAGAGGAUGAUAAUAGUUUGUUUGAGGGCUCUGUUAGCCCAGUUGAGGGAGCAUCCGACCUUAUGGACCCACCUCUUUCUUUUGAUGUUUUAUCGGGAUUUGUCUCCCGCUUUAACGAUGUUUUUGUUGCUUCAUUUAUGGAUUUGAGUAUUUUUUUAGUAUUCGCCUGCCUCUUGUGAUAGUACCUCUAUAUCUGCACCCCACUCACCCACUUCACAUAUAUUUGAUAUAGAUGAUGAGGUUGCACAACCCAAUCCAAAUAGGGACUCUUCUGAUCAUGACUCCGAUCUCGUGGAUGAGAAAGUUUCACCUGCUACAAGGGAUGUUGAGAAUGUUGAUUUUGGCAUAGAGGAUCAGCCUAGAGAGCUGAAGAUUGGUUCACCCCUAUCUACAAAUGAGAGAGAUAGACUUAUUCAUUUACUCAGGUCAUACUUGGAUGUCUUUGCAUGGUCUUAUGAGGACAUGCUUGGUCUUGAUCCCUCUAUAGUUCAACACCACUUACCUAUCCUACCACAUGCCAAACCAGUUAAGUAGAAAUUGAGACGAUUACAUCCACGUUGGAGUCUGCAGGUGAAAGAGGAGAUUCAGAAACAGCUCAGUGUUGGAUUCAUAUCAAUGGUUGAGUAUCCAGAGUGAUUGGCUAAUGUUGUCCCUGUUCCCAAAAAGGAUGGCAAAGUUAGAGUUUGUGUUGACUUUAGAGAUCUUAAUAAAACCAGCCCUAAAGAUGACUUUCCUCUCCCACACAUUGAUUUGUUGGUCGAUAGCACUGCAGGCCAUUCGCUGUUAUCUUUCAUGGAUGUGUUUUCAGGGUAUAAUCAGAUUUUGAUGACUCUAGAGGAUAUGGAGAAAACAACCUUUAUUACUGAGUGGGGUACCUACUGUUACAAGGUUAUGCCAUUUGGGUUAAAGAAUGAAGGAGCCACUUAUCAGAGGGUCGCUACUACUUUAUUUCAUGACAUGAUGCAUAGGGAUGUUGAAGUUUACGUGGAUGAUAUGAUUGUGAAAUCCCGAGGCAGAGUAGAUCACCUAGAGGCUCUAGAGAGAUUCUUUGAGAGGAUCCGAAAGUUUAGAUUGAGGUUAAAUCUUAAGAAGUGCACCUUCGGAGUGACUUCUGGGAAGUUAUUGGGACAUAUGGUUAGUGAGCGAGGCAUAGAGGUCAACCUAGAUAAAAUCAAAGCCAUACUUGACAUGCCUGCACCGAAGACUGAGAAAGAGAUUAGAGGUUUUCUGGGCAGAUUAUAGUACAUCAGUCGUUUCAUAGCCAGAUUGACAGACAUAUGUGAGCCUAUCUUUUGUCUUUUGAGGAAGAACCAACCAACAGUUUGGAGCGAUGAUUGCCAGCUUGCAUUUGAGAAGAUUAAAUAGUAUUUGCUUUCUCCUCCUGUUUUAUUGCCUCCUACGCCAGGACGUCCACUUCUUCUAUAUUUGUCAAUUUCAGACAUGGCCUUGGGAUGUAUGUUAGCUCAGAUUGAUGACUCAUGGAAUGAACGAGCUAUUUACUAUCUGAGUAAGAGGAUGCUGGAGUAUGAGAUGAAGUAUGUUAUGAUUGAGCGCCUAUGCUUAGCAUUAGUUUGGGCUACCAGGAGAUUGAGGCAUUACAUGACAGAGUACUCACUGCAUUUGAUAUCCUGUCUAGAUCCAUUGAGAUACUUAUUUGAUAGACCUGCAUUAACUGGUAGACUGAUGAGAUGGCUCGUGCUUUUGACAGAGUUCGAUAUCCAGUACGUUUCUCAGAAGUCUAUUAAGGGAAGUAUUGUCGCCGACCACCUAGCCUCACUAUCGACAUCUGAGGAUAGACCAGUUGAUGAUGAUUUUCCAAAUGAGGAGUUUGUUGCUAUGACUAGCUUAUCAGGAUGGUGCAUGUACUUCGAUGGUGCAGCCAAUUAAUCAGGGUAUGGGAUAGGUGUUCUGUUGGUAUCCCCUCAGAAUGAUCACAUUCCGAGGUCUGUUCGUUUGACAUUCUCUUAUCGACAUUCUAUCACGAAUAAUAUAGUUGAGUAUGAGGCUUGUAUCCUUGGUUUAGAGACUGCGUUGGAGCUUGACAUUAAACAGAUAGAGGUAUUUGGUGACUCCAAUCUGGUACUUAGACAAAUUCAGGGAGACUGGAAGACUAGGGACGUAAAGCUUAGGCCGUAUCACGCUUAUUUGGAGUUACUGAUUACGAGAUUUGAUGACUUGAGAUAUGUUCAUCUGCCCAGAGCGCAGAACCGAUUUGCCGAUGCCUUAGCUACCCUAACUUCUUCUAUGGACAUUCCGAUUGAUGUAGUUGUACGUCCAUUGCUGAUUGAGUUGAGAUUUGCACCUACCUACUAUUGUUUGAUUGGAGAAACAGAGGUCCAGGAUGAUCUACCUUGGUAUCAUGACAUUUAUCAGUUUCUUAGAUUUGGCACAUACCCUGAGGUAGCCACUGCCAAGGAUCAGAGAGCACUGAGGCAUUUGCCUAUUAGAUUUGUGAUUUGUGGAGAUACUUUAUAUAGGCGAUCAGCUGAUGGUAUGCUUCUAUUAUGUUUAGAUUGAGCCUCUAUAGAUCGAGUGAUGAGAGAAGUUCAUGCAGGAGUUUGUGGUCCACAUAUGGGAGGACACAUGCUGGCUAGUAAAAUUAUGAGGAUAGGUUAUUUCUGGUUGACUAUGGAGACAGAUUGUUGUCAGUUUGUUUAGAAAUGCCCAGAGUGUUAGAUUCAUGGUGAUCUCAUUCAUGCACCGCCAUCAGAGUUACACACUUUGACCUCGCCAUGGCCAUUUUCAGUAUGGGGUAUUGAUAUUAUUGGGAAGGUUUCACCAAAAUCUUCAUGUGGUCAUGAGUUCAUCCUAGUUGCCAUAGAUUAUUUCACCAAGUGGGUGGAAACCGCAUCAUAUGCGAGGUUGACAUUUGCUAGGGUUGCCAGUUUCAUCAAGUUACACAUCAUUUGUCGUUAUGGGGUUCCCCAUGAGUUGAUUUCAAAUAGAGGGGUGCACUUCCAAGCUGAGGUAGAUACUUUGUUACAGAAGUAUGGCAUCCGACAUCAUAGAUCUUCAGCAUAUAGGCCACAGACCAACAAGGCAAUAGAGGCUGCGAAUAAGAAUAUUAAGAGGAUUUUGAGGAAAAUGGUUGAAACUUCUCGAGAUUGGUCAAAGAAACUCCCUUUUGCAUUGUGGGCAUACUGUACCUCUUUUCGCAGCUCUACAGGAGCUACACCUUACUCGCUAAUGUAUGGUAUGAAGGUUGUUUUGCCGGUUGAGACAGAGAUGGGUUCUUUGAGAGUAAUCCUUAAGCAGCAGAUUUCUGAGACAGAGUGGGUUUAGGCUCGGUUUGACCAGCUUAACCUUUUAGAUGAGAAGAGAUUGAGAGCAACCAAUCAUGUUCAGGCCUAUCAGAGGAAGAUGGCUCGUGCCUUCAGGAAACGGGUUAAGCCUAGACCAUUACAAAAAUGGGAUUUAGUUUUAAGGAUUCUCAGAGGUUUGAUUGGAGACCUUAGAGGAAGUUUAGACCUAGUUGGAGUGGGCCUUAUGUUAUUUGAGAGUUGACUCCAGAAGGGGCUGCAUGGUUGACUGACUUAGAUGAAAACCAGUUUUCAAAGCCUACCAAUGUGGAUCAACUGAAGAAGUAUUAUGUUUGAGAUUAGGGUCGCAGGAUGGAUGGCCAUCAUUUCAGUCAGCCUUACACCUUAUCACAUUUAUUAAUGUAUUAAACCGUUGCUAGCCUAUUGAACCCCACAUGGUAUGUUAUAGCCUUAUUUCUUUCUUAUAGCCUUAAUUACCAUUUCUAUACCCUGGUUAGGGCCCUUUGAUGUUUAUGCAUGCUUUGCUAGGAAAGUCUCAUGAGUUUUAGACUUAUAGGCCUAUUUUCUCAUUCUUGUUACCAUCCCCUUAUCACCCCCGUUUGUUCUAUUUUACUAUCAUCACAUUUUCAUUAUCUUAUUGUGUUUAUCAUUAUUUGCUUCAUCUUAUCUCUUCUCUUUCUUGGGUUGAUGAUUCUUCACAUCUUGGUGCAAAAGAGGGCAGUCAUAUCACUCCAUCCAUCCCAUCAAUUGGCAUCGAUUCAGAGAUUUUAGUUUGAGAGGUUGUCUCAUGGGUUGGGGUUCAUGUAUUCAUCAGUGGUUUGAGAGAGUUUGUUCACUCCUUGUAUCUUUCCCAUUGGAGUCCGAUUUAUUGAUGAUCAGAAGAUGCACAUUCAAAAAAAAAAAAAAAAACGCAAUGACAUGUUUGUGUAUGGUAUCUUGCUCCAUUGGGCACUUAUAUCACCUUUUGAGGUUUAUUUACUAGGUAUAUUAGUCAUUGUGGGUUCUUGUGAGAUUUUUAUACGAGUUUUCACUCCUUGAGCCACUCUUGUUAUGCAUUUGGAGUGUUGGGGGUUCAUGUGAGGGUUCUAUGGUAUCCUAUGCUUCUUGGGUCAUGGUAGAUAUGUGUUAGGUAUGAGAGAUGAGUGACCUUUUACUAGGGUCUCCAGAUCAUUGUCUUAUCCACUAUUACAUCGUUGGUUAUAUGACUUUGCUUUAUUGUACUGAUAUGGAUUGAUCAUCAUUCAUUCCCCUUUCUUAUUGCCUUACUUUGUAUCUCCUUACCCAUUUCCAGAUCUUCAUUCCACUUUUUAUCCAUUUCCUACAUAUUGAUACACGUUUUUUGAUUCGAUACCUUAUUCACAUCAUUUACAUGUUUCAUUGAUGGUUUGACCACUCAUCCUUUCUCUCAUUUCGCCCUUGACAUUUCCUUUGGUUACCUUUAGGUCCAUGGCUCAUGAGGUUUUUUUCUAUGCAUUACAUCUUAUACACGAGAGUAUGGGUUUGAUCAUUGGGUAUUUGAGCCUAGUUUCCCUUCAUUUCUUUCAUCCUAUCACCUUGACCUACGUUAUGUCUCGUGUCUUAAGACCACCCUGAGGCCAUGAGAUCAGGCGUUAUCUUUGACAGUCUUCACUUGGACAGGCUUUUGUAGACUGGUUGAAGUAUAGUCGUUACCAUGUUCUCUUUUAUGGAAGAUACUUUUGGAAGAAUUUGGUCUCUCUCUUGCUUGACAUAUUGAUGUUUGAUGGAUUUUUGAGUUUGAAGACAAUUCAUUGAUGAUAUCGGAUUUAUCCUUUUGUCGACAUCAGAUAUCCAUACUGGGGCAUAUUCCCCUUUCAUUCGGUUGAGAUGAGCCCCUAGUGGAGCACUUUCUUUGAGUUUGGGCUUAUUUUCACUGAUUCGAGAUUCCUAAUAGAGUAUGUUGAGAUGAUAUCAGUUAUAGUGGAGCAUUAUUGAGCUUAUUGACAGUUUUUAUGAUUCUAGGUUCCAUUUGCGGAGUAUUUUUGAGAUAGACUAGUGGAUCAUUUUUAAGUUGGAGGCAAUUUUCAGUGCAGUGUAUAGAUCUUAUAUAUUGGGGUAUAUUUUCCCAUUUUGAGGUCACCAGAUUCCCAUCAGAUUUAGUUAGGGAUUCAUCAGAGAAGUGCUUCUACUCUCGAGAUUAUCAUAUUCCUUAUCAUUUUGGUUAUUCAUUUGAGAUCAGAUUUAAAGUGUCUUCCUUGAGCCAUCGGCUGAUACUUCAUUCUGAUUUCUUAGCGGAUUAUUGUUGAGUUGGAGACAGUUGAUUGAUGAUGUUAGAUUCAUCAUUUUGAUUGUGCAUCAGAUAUCCACACUAGGGCAUAUUUCCCCUUUUCUUUGAGGUUUCUAGUUGUUGUUGGAUGAUAUGACUAUUCCUAUCCAUGGUUAUAGAGAUGUUUGAUUGAUUUUGACGGAUUCUUUAUUGUACAUCAGAUAUCCAUACUGGGGCAUAUUCCCCUUUCCAUGAUGAGAUUAUGUUCGGGCAGCAGUACAUAGAUGGAUGAUCAUUGUUGGUUGUUUAUCUCAUAACUUCGACAUCAUAUAUCCAUACUGGGGCAUAUUCCUCUCUCCUUUACGAGAUUUGUUUGGGUAGUGGUAUGAGGAUGGAUGAUUAGUGUCGGUUGUUUACCUCAUGACUUUGAUAUCAAAUCUUAUACUGGGGCAUAUUUCCCCAUUUUCUUUUAGUAUCCUUGAGAUUGAGACAGUGGCCAGCUUAGUUUUAGAUUGAGUGCCAGUCUGGAGUUUCCGACGAUUGACUUCAUUAGGACCCCCCUAUAAGGAUUUGUUGAGAUAGAGAUGGAUCAUAUCGGGUUUUACCCGAGGAGCAUGGGUGGAUCCUUUAGCCAAAUGUUCAUAGGAUAGAUUUGUUUUCGUCAUUGUUACCUUGAAGAUUGGAUUACCCAGAUGAGCAGUAUUUUGUGCACUUUGAGAUUUGUUUUUAGAUAAGCCACAAUAUACACACUUUGAGAUUUACCUUUUGAGAUCCGUCGACAGAGCAGCUUUUCAGACACAGAGAGAGUUCUUUCAGUUUAGACUUUUCAGAGGUUUGUCAUGAUACAUCGGUUUCUGACCUAUUGAUUUCAACGGAUGAUUGAUUUACUGGUUGUUUCAACACUGCAAGCACCCUAGAUACUGGGGCAUAUUUCCCUUCUUGAGUUCAGUAGUCCAACUCUUGGCAUUUUGAGUGUAUGGUUUUGAGCCUAUUUAUUUCCUAUCCACUUUCGAGUUAGUCUUAUUUAUCUGUUGCUUCUAGACCCUGAGUCUUACAGCCCUGAGCUAUCCACUCCUUCUACGCCCUGAGCCUCGUAACCCUGAGCUAUCAUUUUCCUCUUAGUCCUUGAGCCUCAUAGCCUUGAGCUAUCCAUUCCUUCUAGGCCCUAAGUCUCAUAGCCCUAAGCCAUCCUUCUCCUCUUAGGCCCUGAGCUUCGUAGCCUUGAGCUAUCCUUUUCCUCUUAGGCCCUGAGCCUCGUAGCCCUGAACUAUCACUUCUUAUUUAAGACCCAGAGUCUUUCCAGCCCUGAGCUAAGCCUGCAUCAUUUGGUCGCCCAUGAGUGGUAUGACCUGGAGUUUGCGUAUCGCACUCUCUUUCUAGUUGAUCAGUCAUAGAGCUCCGAGCUCAUGGCCCUGAGCUAUUCGUUGUAACCCUGAGUUACUCAUUGCAUCAUGACCCAGAGUCAUUCAUUCCAUCCAUAGCCUUGAGCUAUUCAUUGUAACCCUGAGUUACUCAUUGCACCAUGACCUAGAGUCAUUCAUGACAUCUUGAGCCUUGAGCUCACGACCCAGAGUCAUUUGCAUCCUUCACAUCCCUGAGAUGUUUCGUUUCAUCAUUCUAGCCAAUUGUGAGUGGCCUCGACCCGGCACCAUGAGCCGAAAAGCAUCCUGAUCGGCUAUCCGUUUAGAGCCCUGAGUUCUCGACCUAGAGUCGAUUUUCAUUUAUGACCUAGAGUAAUUUCUUUCCAUUUAGAGCCCUGGGCUCAUGACCUGGAGUCAUUCACUCCAUCUAUGACCCAUAGUCAUUCUUAGCAUUUAUAGCCCUGAGCUCGCAACCCAGAGUCGUUUAUCCUAUUCAUGACCCAGAGUCAUUUAUCCUAUUUCCGACCAUGAGUCAUUUAUCCUAUUUUUGACCUAGAGUCGUUCAUCCUAUCCAUGACCUAGAGUCAUUCAUCUCAUCCAUGACUUUGAGUCAUCAUUUUCAUAUAUUUCCAUCUUUGUGCUACUUGUCACAUACCUUUAUCUCUUUACUGUCAUUCUCCCCACAUAGAGUAGUUUCAUCCUUGUCGUUGAAGCCUUGUGUUCCAACCUUUCUCUCGCCAUGUGCUAAGACAAAAUCUCUGGUCCUUCUUUAGUUCUUCGGUAUAGUUCACUUUGUUCCAUUCAUUAUUCGUAUUUUUACUCACAUUCAUUACACUCGCAAUCUAUACCGAAGAGGGGCAUAUUUGUAUACCCUCAAUUUUGUCCCUUUAGCACAUGUCUUUAAGUUCACUUUCAAUGUUCCACAGUAGUUCUUUGGUGGCCCAUAACUACUCAUACUACUUACCUUUUUUGAGCCACCUCAGAGACUUUGUUGAGGGAUUUAUCUAACCUCAUUGUGACUCUUGGCAGCCCUAAUUUAGACUUAGGCCCACUUAGGCACCCUAGACCCAUUUAGAUACACUUGGCCCAUUAGGCAUCACCUUAGGCCCAUUUAGAUGCACUUGACACCUUCUAGCUUGCACACAUUCACCCUAGGUCACUUAGACAAUCUUUCAGAAUAGGUCACUUGGACACUUCUUUUGGAAUAGUUCACUUAGGCAUGUGCUUGAUUUUGGUUACUUAUUUUUCAGGAUAAGAUGAGUGUUGGCUUGACUUUUUAUUACAUGAAAUGAAUUUUUUAUUCUAUCUUUAUUUUAUUUUUAUUUUUAUUUUUGAAGGUUUGAGUUUGACAUUUAAAUUAUUAUAAUCCGUUGCAUUACUUUAAUUUCUUGAUUUUUUUUAAUUGCAUACGUCUGAUAUUUAUUUUUAUACCCUUACCAAUUUAUUUGUUUAUUUACUCACUUAUUCAUUUAUUCCUUAAUUCCAUGAAUUGACAUUUUGGAUUUUUGUGGCUAUGUGAUUUGAUUUUCUAUUUUAUUUUAUUUUAUUUCCAAUUACAUGAUUUCUUAUUUCAACUUUAUUUUUAAUUUUGCAUGAGACUUGGAGCCAUCAAGGAAAGGAAAUCACGGCCAAAUAGGGAAACUUGGAAGGAAUUCGGGCUGCAUAUUAUUUGCUUGAAGAAAGAAUCCGAGCUGCAUAUAGAAAGUGGGCAGAUCAUGGCUGAGGAACAUCCGGGAGCAUAUGGAAAGAAGAUUAAAGGGGAUCUGAUCACUUACCAAACAAGAUACGACUGCAUCGUUGGGGAAAUCUCCAAGUGAGCCACACAUAAUGGACUUCCCAUAUCCACGCACACGUAGGAAAAAAUGGAAAUAAGAUAUUCCAUAAAGAGUGGGUUGCCUUAUAAAUAAAGGAGAGAAUCCAAGCAUAAGAGGAAUUUUUUUUUCGAAGGGGAAUAGGCGGAAAGAAUUUUCACAUGGAGACUUUUCUUUUGGAGGGCAGAGAGGACACGAGAGCAAUUCUUUUGAGAUGACUCGCGAAGAACUUUGAAGAGCCGACACAUAACCAUAAAAGAGGGAGGAACAACCCACAAAAUCUUCACAAAUAACGGUUUAUAGGUAAGUGUACGCUUUCAAAUUUAUCUUUGAUUUCGUUUUGAUUCAUCCUUUUAGUCUUGAGUGUUUUAAUGAUUUUAGUUCUUUGAUUUAAUUAAUCCUAUCUAAUAAAUUUCUUGUUUUAAUUUCGAUUUAGUUUUAAUUUAUUUUUCUUUUUUAGUUUGGAUGUGUUUGUGGUUUUAAUUCUUUAGUUUAAUUUAUCCCAUUAGAUAAAGUUCCCUUUUUUUUUAUUCCAAUUCGAUUUAGUUUUAAUUUAUCUUUUAUGUUUAGAUGUGUUUGUAGUUUUCUUUAAUUUAAUUGUUUCUAUUAUAAAAGUCCCUAUUUUUAAUUUUGAUCUAGUUCAAUUUUAAUAUAUUUUUUAUGCUUAGAUGUGUUUGUGAUAUUAAUUUGUCAGUUUAAUUAUUUCUAUUAGAAAAGUUUUGUUUUUAAUUUUGAUUUAGUUCACUGUUAAUCUACCUUUUAUGUUUAGUGUUUGUCGUUUUAAUUCGUUAGUUUAACUGUUCAUAUUAGAAAAGUUCUUAUUUUUAAUUUCAAUUUAGUUCAAUUUUAAUCUAUCUCAUAUAUUUGUGAUUUUAAUUCGUUAGUUUAAUUAUUCCUAUUAGUAAAGUUCUUAUUUUUAAUUUCAAUUUAGUUCGAUUUUAAUCUAUCCUAUAUGUUUUUGCGAUUUUAAUUCGUUAGUUUAAUUAUUCGUAUUAGAAAAGUUCUUAUUUUUAAUUUCAAUUUUAAUCUCUCUUAUAUGUUUAAAUGUGUUUGAGAUGUUAAUUAUUAGUUUAAGUAUUCCUCAUAGAUAAAGUUCACAUUUUUAAAAUCCCAAAUUAGUUUAAAUUUUAAUUUAGCUGUUAGUUUAAAUAUGUUUGUGAUUUUAAUUCCUUAGUUUAAGUAAUUUAAGAGAUAAAGUUUAAUUUUAUUUUAUUUUUUUGGAUUAAUUUAGUUUUAGUUUAUAAUUUAAUUUGAAUGCGUUAAUGAUUUCAAUUCCUUAGUUUAAAUAAUUUGUGAGAUAAAGUUUACUUUCUUUAAUUUCAAAUUAACUUAGUUUUAGUUUAUGAUUUAAUUUGAAUGUGUUAGUGAUCCUAAUUAGUUUGAUUUUAAUUCGUUUUUAGUUUAAAUAAUCACGCUAAAUAAAGUUUGUAUUUUUAAUUCCAAUUACUUUAAUUUUAAUUCGUUUUUAACUUAAAAGCAUUCGUGGAUCUUAAUUCUUUAGUUUAAAUGAUUGUAUUAAGUAAAGUUUGAGUUUUUAAUAUUCCAAUAACUUUAUUAAGUAGAAUUUAAUUUCAAUUCAGUUUGAUUUUAAUUUGUUUUAUAAUCUGAACGUGUUCAUGAUUUUAAUUCAAUUGUUUGAUUAACCCUCUUUAACAAAUUCCAUAUUUUUAAUUUCGAUCUUAGUUUAAUUUUAUUUUGUUAAUUUAUUUAUUUGCUUUAGUUUAAAUAUAUUUGUGAUUUCAAUUUGAUAGUUUAGCCAAUCUUAUUAGAUGAUGAUGUCCUUAAUUUAAUCUAGUAUUAAUUAUUUUUAGUAUUGAAUGUGUUUGUGUUUUUUAUUUCAUUAACUUUGAAUUUAAUCCGUUUAUAUCCAAUUUUGCAAUUGAUUAUAAUUUUGUUUAAUUAAUUCAGUCAAUCACGUGUAAUUAUUUUCAUGUUUUAAGUAUGGUAAUUUUGGCUUUGAUCUAUUGACAUUUAGUAUGAGCUUUAGGAAUUUUAGAUAAUUAAUCCAGUUAAUUGUAUGUCAUUGGUUUCAUACCUUCAAGAUUUUUGAACUUUGGUAUUUGAUUCAUCAUAUUUUGUUAAAAUGCUAAUUUACCUUAAUUGAUUCCAUAUUAUUAUCUCCAUAUGCUAAGUUUGUUGGCUUUAAUAUUUGAUUGGUUAUUUUUAUUUUAAUUCAUGUGCUUCUUGAAAUCUAAAUGUUAGUCUUUGGUAAUAUUUUGUUAGUUUGUUUUAUUAGGAAAUUAUAAAUUUGAUGUCUUAGUGAUUGUUAGUUAAAUUCUUAUUUUUUGAAGGCCAUUGGAAACUCAUGAAAGUUGGUCUUACCCUCACCACUUUAAUUGACAUGAUUUUCUAAAUCUUUAUUUUGUGAUUUUCGCUUUCUUUUGUUUUGAUUGGUAUUUGGUUUUCUUUGUUUUAUUAUUUUAAAAAUUAAUUCCUUUUAUUUUAAAAUCAAAACCUUUUUCUCCGAAGACCCCUUUAAGAAAUUCUUUUUUUUUUAAAAAAAAAAAUCAUUUAGAGUCCUUAGAAUAAAAAAACCCCAUUUUCUUAAAAUAAUAUGCAACCAUUUUUUGAUCGAUUUCCAUCUUUCUCGGUUUUUUAAUGAAAAUUUUGGUUUAAAAUCAAACACAAAUCCAAGCUUAUGGUCCCACAUAAAUGGGAUAAUUUCAGGUUAGAUUUGUGUAUAUCAAUUGGGGAAUUGGUGAAACCCCUACAUAAAAAAAAUAAAAAAUAAAUAAAAAAUCUUUUCAAAACUUAUUUUUGCUACCGCCUUUGUUGGUUGUUACAUUCAUAUCUUUUUUUUUGGAAUUGUACAUAAGAUGUGUGUAAUAAUUGAUGAUUUCGUAUUCUUUGAUCAUUUUUGCUAUGAGCUAUAUAUGCUAUCCAGGUAUGUUCCCUAAUACCCACUUUCUAAACCCCGUGAACAUGAUUGUCAUUGUGUACUAUGCCCAUGCUUGCUAUCCUAUUUGAUUGCCUUGAUAUAUAUUUGAUGCUUUUUUUUUAUUAUCUUUGACAAAAACACAUGUUGUGAUAUAUUUUUAUACUAACUUUUAUGUUUCAUGAUAGCGCUUGAGAAGCCGUUUAGGUACGCACUUUGAUUCUCUCUUAUGAUCAGACUUUCUUAUUUGGCAUGCUAUUUUUUGAAAUCACCUAGCCUACCUAGGUAUCCAUGAUCAACCAUUUAAUUGUCACGUUUCCCUCAACUUAAUUAGUAGAGACCUCUUUAGGGCUUAGAGGGGUGCUACCUCCUAGAGGUAUCUUCCUAGUAAGUAACCUAAUCCCCGGACCUAGACUCGGUUUUUUCAAAGAGAUGCUUUUUUCAAAAAUUAUGGAGUCACAUUUUAGGGUUUUUCUUUCUUGUUUUAUUUUCCCUUUAAAAUAAAAAUAAAAUAAUGGCGACUCCGACUUUUUCCAAAAUUAAUUUUUCACAAAUAGAAAAGCAAGUCUCUCCGAUCGAAUGAGGGCGCAUGUGAAAAAUGCGGGUCCAUAGAUAGGCCUCUCAUUUCUAAUGUAUGCAAGUUUUAACUGUAUACCAUGGUAAAUUAGAUGAGAAACUAUAGUAAAUUGGAUGAAAGAUUAACCCGACGUGAUUUCUUUGUCAAUUUGGAAGGAUGGUGUAAUUUUAGGAAAUGACAAGCUUGCACAUAAUUAUAAUUAUAUUUUGAUGAACGAGACAAUUGUUUAAUGUUCUAUCUUGGUGUUUGGCAUUCAACAAAUUAUGUUCAUAUUUAAUUAAAAAGUUUAAUGUAACCUUGUAAAUGCAUAGUUUAUACUCACAUUGUUUAGAUCAUAUCUGGAAAGUUGAAAAAAAAAAUGGGACUCCAUUACAUAUCUCAUUAAUAAAUAUGUAUGAAUUACUUAUUAAAAAUAGAAAUAGGUCAUCCAUGCCAUGAGAAGUCAUGCCUCCAAAAGCAAAAAGCAAAAAACAAGUUCUUACAAUUCAACUUUUUUGGCAUCCAUGAUGAGUUUAUCAACCUAACUAUUACCCACCAACUAAUAAUAAUUGUAGCAUUAAUGCGAGUCAACUAACAAUCCUUCUUCCAUUUACCUCUAUCUUGGAAUUUGAUCUAUUAAAUUUUCUUCCUUUUACCUCUAUCUUGGUAUUUGACAUGUUAAAAUUGGACCUUCACUCCAUGUUAUAUACGAGCAUAGUUUUUAAGUAGAAAUAGGUAUAGUUGCUAUGCUACUAAAUUUUAUAUUUGGAAAUUGGAAAUAUUAAAAAUGUUUUAAUUGAAAAUAAAUAUAAUUUUAAUAUUUUCAAAUAUUUUAAUGAAAUAAAAUUAAUUUGGUGUCCCAUUUUUUUUUUUCAGGAUCAAUAAAGUGUGAACCCCAUAUUUAAGAAUCCUACGUAACUAUGUUUAGAAUUUGUAAAUGACAUAUAAACAUUCAUUGACCUAAAAACUCUCCUUGAGAGGUUUAAUUAAUAUAUACUGGAAAUUUCCACCCAAAAAACAUAGCACAAUACCUUGUUUGAGGUAAAUUUAGUGGAAUGCAUUAUGGGAAUUGCUCAAUAGUUAAAAAUGAGGGUGUGCUUGUUAAACUCAAAAGAUUAAAUACGUGGUCAACGUGAGAACUGAUACCAAUUUUUCAGACGAUACAACAACCCAACUGUCAAUUCAUAAAUUUUAUAUAAAUGAGGAGACAUACUGCUCCUUGGACCAAGGUAGAUUUUGUUUUUGAGUCUACGUUAUUUUCUCCAAAAAAAAUAUUAUAACUAUAAAAUUGUUUUCUAUUUUUUAUUGUUAAAAACAAAAAAACAUAUAUUUUCAGAUAAUAUCUUUUAAUAAUUUUUCAUUAUUUUUGCAUAUUUUUUUAAUGUAGUUUUGAAAAAUAAUUAUACAAACAUGGAAAAUAAUUAAAAAUAAAAUACUAGAUAUACAAAUUAUUUUAAAAAUAGGUUAAAUAUAAUUCAGGUUCCUAAAGAGAAUUUUGUUUUAUAAAACACUAUAAAAUAGUUUUUAAAAACUAUUUUUUACAAUUGUUUUAAAAAACAAUUACCAAUUACCAAAUAGGGCCCUAAAAAUAGAGAUGUGUCAAUAUUAACUAACAAGCUAGAAAGAGAGAUGUGUUAAUAUUAUAAUUAACCAUUAUAGGCAAACAUUGAAGUCAUUCUAUCAUAUCCAAAAUUGGCACCAUAAUUUUCCAUUUUCAACUUAUUUUCUUUUUACCGAUGUAACUAUGUGGAAAUUUCUUGUUUUAUUAAUUCAAUAUGCAUGAGAUAUUUCAAUGGUCCAUCCGUCUAAUUAAUGGUUGGAAACCGAUAGAAAUAUGAAACAACUUUUUCAUAUUGUUAAGAAUCUUUUAAAAUGUCUUUCUUUUGUCACUUCAAAUGAUUGGGUUCAUUAAUCUUAACCAUUCAUUCAAUGCUUGAGUUUGCAUCCACUGCUCACAUCCCUAUCCACCAUUAUACAUAUUGAUAUAUUUAUUAUUUUUGUUUUUAUUUCUAAGAUUAACAACUUUGGAACAUAAAAUGAUUAGGGAGUAGAGCAUGAAUGCAAGAACAACUUUUGAACUUAAACAUUAAGAUUGAAAUGGUCUAAAUCAGAUCAAGUGAUUUACUUGUGUGUUGGGUGUAUCCCAGAAGCCCACAUCAAAUGGAAAAUCACCCUCACCUCCCUGGAUUUGUUCAAUCAUACCAUCCAUGGGUCCCUUUUUCUGUGUUGCAGUUUCUUCUGUCCUGAGGCUUGCGAUAAGCAUCUCUCCAGAAGCCGAAAAGUCAGUUUCUUGAUCCAUUUGAGCAUGCUCAGCUAACAGGCUUUCCCACCAUAUGAUGUCAUCAUUCGGUUGUGGUGAAGUGGAUGAUGGCUUCCUGGAAGUACUGACUUGUGUGUCAAAAGUAUCCACAGCUGUAGUUUUUAGUUCAAACCUUGGCAAG
rnacentral:lncRNA from 1 species